UGCCAUUGAUGUUCAAAAUGUUUGUACCCAUUGAAAUGACCAUUGAAAAGAUGAAAAUGACAUAUAAAAUCCGGCCAAAUACAAUCUUUGAGCCCAUGAAUGAAAUGACCCACUUUGUUACCAAAUACAGAGAAGCGAAAAGAUCUGUCACUGAGCUUAACCACCUUGAACCCCUUGGGAUGACCCCCAAUACAACAUUGCAAAGCCACACUCACAGAAUCUUCAGUAAGGGGAAAGGAGGCCGAGGAGAAAGAAACCACCAAGAAGAAUUCCUUGGUAUUGCGAGAUGGAGAAAAGUGAACAGUUUCUCCAAAUCUUCAACGUACAUGUUCUGAGACUGCAAGACCAGGAUUGAAAUCCCAGUGUAGUAGGCCUUCCAUGGUGAGGAUUAGUGGUUAGAUCCAUGGUGGAGAGGAAGCAGGUUGGAGAGAGGAGAGGAGAGGAGCCAUUCUACCACGAGAAAUCUGUGGAGGGGGGCACCGUAGGAUUUACUGAGGGAAUAGUGGUACUGGGGGAGGCGAGUGAGGCGAGGGUACGCGGGGGCACAGUGAGAUGAUGAAUAGUGACCUUAGGAUCUCCGGCGACACGGAGAUGGAGAUGGAGUGGUGCUAGGGGAGAGGGUGACGAGGUGAGGCAUGCUAUACAGCGGCAGUGAUAGUGACUGCACAGUGCACAAGGUGAGGCUGACUUUGGUAACCCGAACACGCCGCCUGGACUGGUGUCACCUCGAGCGCAAGGGCCUGUCAGUUCACUGUGAGGACCGGAUGAAUAAUAUUUUGACCAUCAAGUGUACCACAGUUGUACUACUACUACUAGUAGGAGUAGUAGGAACAUGAGUAUUAUUGUAUAGCGGAAAUAGGUCUCCCACGCUAGCAUGCCUUUGGGUUCACUUCAUCCUCUAGGUAUCAUCCAUAAUGCGAGCAGAACCAAAUUCUCGUGCAUGCGGAAGCGCGAAGAAGGCCUUUUAUUUUUUGAGGAUAACUGCGUAUUCUUAACUAGAAAAAUGUUGUGUCUCCCAUGCACAUGCCAAUAUCCAUCCGAACCAGCUACGACACAUUUUUUAAAUCCGUUUGCAUAGGUCCCACCUGUCAGUGGCACAUGUAGCGCUCGAAGGAUGGGCACGUACAGGGAAAGGUACCACUCCUCAGAUUACCGACAUAUCCUUUUCGUUUAGUCUAUGUAGCCAUCUAAUCAACUGCCUGCAGGCCACUUCUCCCAUUUACUUCUCCAUCAGGAACCGACUUUCCUCGGCUUCUUCACUACUCCUUCAUCUUCAUUUGCAUCCAAACCACACUGCAUUCACAUUGUUUUAACAUCUUCACAUUCUCCUAGAGUAAUUCCGAAGCCCCUUUAAAUAAUAAUCUUCUUUAGCUAGACUAGCCAUCUAAUCCUAAUUCCUCAAACCAUAGCCCUCCGGUCCAGCGGUUCCAAAUAGCGAAAGAGAUCGAGACGCAGGUUUUUAGUGUCCAACAUGUCCUCGUCAAAGGCUCAUUGAGCAUAGUUGCCACAAUCACCGACCACCCAAGGGUUGUUCGGAAGUGGAUCAACAAUGUAUCCAACUCCCUCCAAAAGGUGGGGAUGAAGGUCAUCGGUCUCGACGCAGAGUACACGGAGCAUGCCACUUGGAAGAUCCAACGUGCCGCCGUCCUUCAGUUGUGCCUCGGAGAUGAUGUUUUGGUGUACCACAUCAUACACGCGCCCUUCAUACCAGGUGAGCUUCACGAUUUCUUGUCUCGGGAGGACAUAUACUUCUGUGGGGCAGCCAUCACAGGGGACAAACAGAAGUUGGAGCCGUACAACCUUGAUUUGAAAAGCAUCACUGGCAUUCAAACCAAAAUAAAAUUUCCUGUAGAACAUUGUGAUAAACCGACGCCAUCACUAUUCGACAUAGCAAAUUUUGUGGUCAGAACAAAUCUUCAGAAGGGUGACGAGAUGCUGGCAUUAAGGUCGUCUAGAUGGGAGAAAUUAUCCCUUGUCAUACGAGCGGAUAAAAUAUGCUGCCUCCAUGCCCGUGUGAGAUUCGAGAUAGAUGCAAGGUCCAAAGAGCUUGUUGCGAAGCUGUCUCCCACAUAAAAUGAGAAGAAGAAGCUGCACCAGCAGCAGGGCAUUAUGGAUGGAUGAACUAUUUCCUCUCUUGUAAAGAAAAUUAUUCCCUCUCUCUGUAUAUUGAUAUAGAUGGGACCUUUCCUAAAAAUAGGACAUAUGAGUUUGCUCGAAAUUCACCGAAACGGAAAUAAAUCGACAUUUCGGUAAAACAUAAGCAACUCGAGGGCAUGUCACUAGCACAAAUCUCUCCAUGUAUGUAUAUAUAUAUAUAUAUAUAUAUAUAUCCCAAACACACAUAUUCUCACUCACACACAUAUUCGCAUUCUUGAAAUGAACAACUUUUUACUCACCUAUAUAUAUCUCCCGGGAGGGACCGAGAGCAGGCGGUUAAUUAGAUGAUGAGAGAGAACGAUCGACAGACCACGUGUGGUUGGCUAAAUAGCUAGCUACAUCUAGUUGUUUGGAGGAGAGGUGAAUCUAGCUAGCUAACUAAUGGAGAGGGGUUACGGUGGAUGGGGGCAUUAAUGGGGGAGACAGGAGAGGUGUAGGAGAAAGAGAGAGGCCAUUUAUGGAGGAGUGUGCCAUUAAUGAGGAGAGAAGAGAGGUAGGAGGAAGAGAGAAGAAGAGAAACAACGGUGGAGCUAGAGUGGAGAGGGGAGAGGGGAAAGGAGGGCGAGAGAGGGCAAAGNNNNNNNNNNNNNNNNNNNNNNNNNNNNNNNNNNNNNNNNNNNNNNNNNNNNNNNNNNNNNNNNNNNNNNNNNNNNNNNNNNNNNNNNNNNNNNNNNNNNUUACAAAAGCUAACCCUUAAACCGCUCGCGACCAUCCGGACAUGUUUUGCCAUCCAAUACGGUCCUAUAUCGGCCCACAGGCCGGUCUGGAUGUGCAUUUUCCUGUAAACCAAAAACAAACUACGGGGCUUUGUGGGCGUCUGGACCGCUGCCACGGCCGCUUCUUACUCCCCUGGCCCACCAAAAACACCUGUCCCGCGCCCGCACCCCUUCACAUGAGAAGCAGUUAGGUACCAGUGCUCCAGAGCACCGGUACCUCAUUCAUGCCUAUUUGGAGUAGCCGCGAUGAAUAUACUCAUGUUGAGGAGAAGUACCAGCCACAAAAAUCAAUGUAAUUGAUUGAUGAAUUGGAUGCUUCUCUGGAAAUAAUUGAUCAAGGGCAAGCCAAGGAUGUGGAUAGUCCUUACUACUUUAAUAAUACUCCAUUUGAAAGUCCAAGGAAAUACUUCAAUUUAAUUCAAAUUUCAGACUCAUUUUGUUAUCUUUAGAUUAAUGCAACAUAAAUAUCUACUUAAUGCAUAAUAUAUAUAAUUAGGGGUGAACUUGUGAGUGGGCACAUGAGUGGAACUCAAACAAACAAUCAUAUGUAGACAAGAGAUGUGUUUGUCUUUUAUUCCCAUGUUUGAACUAGUAUAGUUCGGGUUCUUACAUGAUAGUGCAUGUCACUUUAUUUUUUCACCGCUACAACGACCAAACCAUGGACUAAGAAAACGGUGUAUCAUAUAUCUACUACUAGAGUUCUUCUAUUCUCAGUUAGUACCGAAGAUGCCAACUGGAGCAAUGGUGCAAUAUGGAGGGAUAUAGACAUUGCACAUUGCAGGUAGCGUCUCUAGCGCUAGGUUCCUUAUUUCCUCAAACUGGGGCAGUUGUUGAGGCUGGACAGAGCCCUGGGCCUGUGGGUUUUGCUGAGAUGGCUGGAAGGAGCCCUGGCCUGAUGGAUAUUGUUGUUGAGACUGUUGGAAGCAGACCUGGCUCAACGGUUGUUGUUGUUGUUGUUGUUGUUGUUGUUGUUGUUGUUGUUGUUGAUGCAGAAUAAUAGCAUGAACAACAUUGUGGAUGGCUUGGCACCGCGACUGCUCGGGGAUCUGCCAUAGCUGCUGACAACACAAUUGUUGCACCAGCUGGUAAGUACUUUGUUGCAAAACUUGUGAGCUUCCAUGCGCUAUGCUGUGUUGUUGCAAUACAACAUCCCUGCAUGGAAUCAGUUGUUGUUGCAAAAUUUGUUGAAGGAUCUGUUGUUGUUGUUGUUGUUGCUGCUGCUGCUGCUGCUGCUGCUGCGAAAUUGGUUGUUGUGGUUGCGAAUACUGUGGUUGCGGUUGUGGAUAUGAUUGUUGUGGUCGAAAUGGUUGCGGCUGCGGAUAUGGUAGUUGCGGCUGCGGAUAUGGUAGUUGCGGCUGCGGAAAUGGUUGCAGCUGCAUAUAUGGUUGUUGUGAUGGAAAUGGUUGCAGCUGCGGAUAUGGCUGUUGUGGUGGAAAUGGUUGUUGCUGCCCUGGAAAUUGUUGUUGUUGUACCAAUGGAACUUGCUUUUGUGGUUGUUGCUGAGAUGGAUUUUGUGGCUGCAAUUGUGGCACUGGAACUCUAACUGCAAUUGUGGCGGUGGUUGCUACAAUAGCACGGAGGGCAAGGAUGAGAAAGGUCUUCAUGGUGGAUUUGUAUUGAGCACUGCUUGCUUGGCUUAAAUGAUGCGCUCUACUUAUGAGAAUGAUGGAUGAGGAAGGAUGAUCAUCAUGCUACGGGCCUAUUUAUAGCUGCCAUGGAAUGAUCUCUUUCACAAUUGGCAUUUGCUUGUGUGGAAGUGCUUGGAUGCUUCUCAAAAUCAUAAUUUGGUAUGUUGUGUUCGGUGGCACUACUUACAAGUGUAUUCUUGAACUGGUCAUUAAAGUUCCUUGUUGUUGCACUAUCAUUCCACAACCAAAAAGGUGUGAUAACACGCAUGACUCAUUUUAUUCACUUUACAGCUCAAACACUAAUCUAGAUUGCCUAUUUUUCUGAAACUAAGUUUGUAAUUUUCUGCAAAUUGUUACGCAUAAACUAGAUAAGCAUGGCUGGCACAGAACUUGGUUUGUAAUCUUGUGUGGCCUGUUAAGGUAGAUAAGACUAGUAAUAUAACUUGCUUUAGUAGGCCAUGACUCAUCAAAUUCCCUUUACAUGUCAAGUGUUGUAGUGUUCUAGAAGUUAUUAGCAAACAUAAAUUUUGUAAUGUUCUACAAGUUGUUACAUGUAAACUAGAUAAGCUUGACUUGCACACAAACAAGAUUUUAAUCAUGUGUGACCUGUUAAGAUGGAUUAGACUAGUAAUGUGGCUUUGAUAGACCAUGACUCAUCAAAUUGCUUUUACUUGUCUUAAGUGUUGUAUAUGUUGUACAAGUUAUUAACACUUAUCAGCUUAGUAUGGCUUGCAAUGUGUGUGCAUGCCAAUGUACGUUCUAGCUUCUAUUCAUUUGUAGAUCUUAUUUUGUUUUACGCAAAUUGUAUAAAUUAUCAUCUACGCUAAGGCUUGCGAGUGCAACUGCAACAAUGUUGGCAGGGUGGGAGGGAGGUUGUGGCAUGGCAUGAGUUCUUAUGACAACCGUUCAUUAUGUGUGAAAAGAUACGUGUUAUGUUUUUCAUGCGUGCUAAGAAAUAGAUGUUUUUAAAUACAAUUUAUAUUUUGAUUAGCAAAGUUCUCGGAAAAGUUGACAUGACCUCUACUCAUUAUUUAUCUUUUGGAUCAAAUUCAAAUAAUAAUAAAAUAAAUGGAUGUGAUUCCAUCAUGGCCAUUUCAAAUAUAUUUGAAAGUAAAAUCCAAACAUUAUCCUCAGAUUACAAUACAAAUUACACGUCAACUGUUUCAGAUAAAAAAUAUAAAUGAUCUAUUAUAUUAUUAAAAGAAGAAAAAUGAGUUAAAAAGAAUGGAUGUGAUUUGCUUGAAAGAAUGUGUAUGCAUGUCUCCUUAUCCCGCGAGUUUCCAGAAAAACAACGCUAGGCUCGUCCUAUUGGAAUCAGUCGGAUGAAUAAANNNNNNNNNNNNNNNNNNNNNNNNNNNNNNNNNNNNNNNNNNNNNNNNNNNNNNNNNNNNNNNNNNNNNNNNNNNNNNNNNNNNNNNNNNNNNNNNNNNNGGGUUACGUCAAAAACUGGAUGCACUUCGCGUACAAAACGGACGAUCUCUUUCAAAGUAUCAGGAUUUCAUACGGAAACUCGUCUGUUACAAUGGAAUUUCAUUUUUAAAACUUAUUUGAACUCCUGACUUUUUGUGUGUUCAAAAUUAAACAUUCAAAUCCACAUCAUCAUUUUUCAAUCCUUUCUGACUUCAUUUGUUAUUUUUCAUGCAUUUACUAAUUAUUUUGAGCUAUAAGACCAUAAAAUUGAAAAGCAUUUCAAAUGAACUCUGAAAAGGUUGAAAGUUGGCAUGGUAUCAUCAUUUCAUCCACAUAGCAUGUGCAAGAUAGUUGAGAGGGUUACGGCAAAAACUGGAUGCACUUCGUGUACAAAAUGGACGUUCUCUUUCAAAGUAUCAGGAUUUCAUACGGAAACUCGUCUGUUAGAAAGGGAUUUCAUUUUUUUAAAACUUAUUUGAACUCCUGACUUCUUGUGUGUUCAAAAUGCACCAUUCAAAGACACAUCAUCAUUUUUCAAUCCUUUCUGACUUCAUUUGUUAUUUUUCAUGCAUUUACUAAUUAUUUUGAGCUAUAAGACCCUAAAAUUGAAAAGCAUUUCAAAUGAACUCUGAAAAGGUUGAAAGUUGGCAUGGUAUCAUCAUUUCAUCCACAUAUCAUGUGCAAGAUAGUUGAGAGGGUUACAAAUAACUGGAUGCACUUCGUGUACAAAACGGACAAUCUCUUUCAAAGUAUCAGGAUUUCGUACGGAAACUCGUCUGUUACAAAGGGAUUUCAUUUUUUUAAACUUAUUUGAACUCCAGACUUUUUGUGUGUUCAAAAUGCACCAUUCAAAGCCACACCAUCAUUUUUCAAUCCUUUCUGACUUCAUUUGUUAUUUUUCAUGCAUUUACUAAUUAUUUUGAGCUAUAAGACCAUAAAANNNNNNNNNNAUUUUUUUAAACUUAUUUGAACUCCUGACUUUUUGUGUCUUCAAAAUGCACCAUUCACAGCCACACCAUCAUUUUUCAGUCCUUUCUCACUUCAUUUGUUAUUUUUCAUGCAUUUACUAAUUAUUUUCACCUAUAAGACCCUAAAAUUGAAAAGCAUUUCAAAUGAACUCUGAAAAGGUUGAAAGUUGGCAUGGUAUCAUCAUUUCAUCCACAUAGCAUGUGCAAGAAAUUUGAGAGGGUUACGGUAAAAACUGGAUGCACUUCGUUUACAAAACGGACAAUCUCUUUCAAAGUAUCAGGAUUUCGUACGGAAACUCGUCUGUUACAAAGGGAUUUCAUUUUUUUAAACUUAUUUGAACUCCUGACUUUUUGUGUGUUCAAAAUGCACCAUUCAAAGCCACAUCAUCAUUUUUAAUCCUUUCUAACUUCAUUUGUUAUUUUUCAUGCAUUAACUAAUUAUUUUGAGCUAUAAGACCAUGAAAUUGAAAAGCAUUUCAAAUGAACUCUGAAAAGUUUGAAAGUUGGCAUGGUAUCAUCAUUUCAUCCACAUAGCAUGUGCAAGAAAGUUGAGAGGGUUACGGCAAANNNNNNNNNNGGAUUUCAUACGGAAACUCGUCUGUUACAAAGGGAUUUCAUUUUUUUAAACUUAUUUGAACUCCUGACUUUUUGUGUGUUCAAAAUGCACCAUUCAAAGCCACAUCAUCAUUUUUCAAUCCUUUCUGACUUCAUUUGUUAUUUUUCAUGCAUUUACUAAUUAUUUUGAGCUAUAAGACCCUAAAAUUGAAAAGCAUUUCAAUUGAACUAUGAAAAGGUUGAAAGUUGGCAUGGUAUCAUCAUUUCAUCCACAUAGCAUGUGCAAGAAAGUUCAGAGGGUUACGGCAAAAACUGGAUGCACUUCGAGUACAAAACGGACAAUCUCUUUCAAAGUAUCACGAUUUCAUACGGAAACUGGUCCGUUACAAAGGGAUUACAUUUUUUAAAACUUAUUUGAACUCCUGACUUUUUGUGUGUUCAAAAUGGACCAUUCAAAGCAACAUCAUCAUUUCUCAAUCCUUUCUGACUUCAUUUGUUAUUUUUCAUGCAUUUACUAAUUAUUUUGGGCUAUAAGACCCUAAAAUUGAAAAGCAUUUCAAAUGAACUCUGAAAAGGUUGAAAGUUGGCAUGGUAUCAUCAUUUCAUCCACAUAGCAUGUGCAGGAAAGUUGAGAGGGUUACGGCAAAAACUGGAUGCACUUCAUGUACAAAACGGACAAUCUCUUUCAAAGUAUCAGGAUGUCAUACGGAAACUCGUCUGUUACAAAGGGAUUUCAUUUUUUAAAACUUAUUUGAACUCCUGACUUUUUAUGUGUUCAAAAUGCACCAUUCAAAGCCACAUCAUCAUUUUUCAAUCCUUUGUGACUUCAUUUGUUAUUUUUCAUGCAUUUACUAAUUAUUUUGAGCUAUAAGACCCUAAAAUUGAAAAGCAUUUCAAUUGAAUUCUGAAAAGGUUGAAAUUGGCAUGGUAUCAUUAUUUCAUCCACAUAGCAUGUGCAAGAAAGUUGAGAGGGUUACGGCAAAAACUGGAUGCACUUCAUGUACAAAACGGACAAUCUCUUUCAAAGUAUCAGGAUUUCAUUCGGAAACUCGUCAGUUACAAAGGGAAUUCGUUUUUUAAAACUUAUUUGAACUCCUGACUUUUUGUGUGUUCAAAAUGCACCAUUCAAAGCCACAUCAUCAUUUUUCAAUCCUUUCUGACUUCAUUUGUUAUUUUUCAUGCAUUUACUAAUUAUUUUGAGCUAUAAGACCCUAAAAUUGAAAAGCGUUUCAAAUGAACUCUGAAAAGGUUGAAAGUUGGCAUGGUAUCAUCAUUUCAUCCACAUAGCAUGUGCAAGAAAGUUGAGAGGGUCACGGCAAAAACUGGAUGCACUUCAUGUACAAACCGGACAAUCUCUUUGAAAGUAUCAGGAUUGCAUACGGAAACUCGUCUGUUACAAAGGGAUUUCAUUUUUUAAAACUUAUUUGAACUCCUGACUUUUUGUGUGUUCAAAAGGACCAUUCAAAGCCACAUCAUCAUUUUUCAAUCCUUUCUGANNNNNNNNNNNNNNNNNNNNNNNNNNNNNNNNNNNNNNNNNNNNNNNNNNNNNNNNNNNNNNNNNNNNNNNNNNNNNNNNNNNNNNNNNNNNNNNNNNNNAUAUAUAUAUAUAUAUAUAUAUAUAUAUAUAUAUAUAUAUAUGGCAUAACUGAGUGCUGAUGAUGGAGAGAAAAGGACCACAGAUUAAAAAAAUAUGGUCAGUACACUUAUUAUCAUAUAAUUAGAUUUAUUUUCCAGUCCAAAUGACACCUCCAGUUUCCUUGAGGAGAUGUUAUAUAUUUUCGCAGUCUAUUUUCUUUGUUCUAAGCAACAUGGCCACUUAUAUAUCUUAUAUCUGCUCUGCAGUAGUUUUUGGGUCACAGAGAGUCUGAACUCUGAACACGCUAUAACACACGUGUUAACUGAGCCAUUAGUCUGGCCGCAUUGGAGCAAGUAGCUAAAAGAAUUUUUUUCCUAGAACUUGCACUGGCGUCAUGGGCAGAUGGCCUGACCGCAACACAACCCAUAACAGUUUUUACAUGGGAAGAAGUGAUGAAUGUUAACAUAUAAGGACGAACUUGUAAAUCUGCUGGUCUUGUUUCAAACGUGUGAUAAGCUUUGUUGGUUCUCCAAUGUGUUGGGCGGCCGGCACCUUUUCCUGCAAGCUGCGACUAAUUUCGUGACAUGGAAGACCACUAAACUGAAUUCCAAACAUCCUGAAUAUCCAAAAACCUAUUUGUAAAUCUUUGUCACAGGGUGCUAGACAAUGCUAGACUGAUCUUUAACACUUAAACUGUUUCCAAAUUUAGUAUAGAAAAAAUAGUCGGAAGGGCCGUGAACGAUCUGUGUCAGCAGCAGCUACAAUCAAACAUAAGCUAAUCGCAUUAGUGGAGUCAAAUCAUAACAACGCACUCACCUAGACCAUGUUGAGUCGUCUCUUAUUGAGAAUUGACCUUCAGUGGGCGUGAAGCAUCAGCCAAACCAUGUAGAAGCCCUGCGAUAGCAUGUACGCUAGCUAGCUCCAUGCCUCUAGCAACGUUUAUCGAAUAGGAUAUGGACCGCGCUCUUCAACUUCUGCUGCCCGAGGAUGCUGGUGAACAGUUUCGCUACUACUCCUGUCUAUAAAGAUACCACGGCAACCGCGGGCGCUGGCGCGGAGUACUGGAUCUCCCAAUAUGUACGUGCAGUUGUGCACCAUACUGCUCGUGUUUGGACCUGCAGCACAGGAGAUCGUGGAGGCUUCAACAGGAGAAGAACGCGCGUAGCCAAGAUCAUGCUGGUGGAUAUCCUCGUCACGUGAUGCGGACAUCACAUGCCGAGAUGUACUCACGGUAAUGGACUCGUGUCUGCGCUACUGGGUAACUGGAGGCCGGACGGUGCCACUGCUCAUGUAUGACUGGUCAAUGAGGAGGCUGGCGGAUGGAGAGGGCAACGGAUGGAGGCAGGCCGGAUGAUGGGACUCCCGCAUAGAGAAGGAAUCAACAAUUAGAAAUCUGCAUCCACCUUGCAAUAGCAUAGCAAGAACCAACCGGAGGUAGGCCCCGAUGAUAGGAGAUCUAUUCGAUUUCUUUUAGGAAAAGAAAAGAUGGAGGUCAAUAGAGGUAGGAGUGCUGCACGAUGGCUACUACGUGGUAUGCCUUUUUUUUUGCGUGGACAGAUUUUUUACCUAGAUUGAAUCUCAUCCCAUGAUUUUUCUGGACUCUUUAUUUCAUUCAGAUAGACGUGAGAGAUUAAAAGAGUUGGGUUCUGUGAUACACGAUUCAUGUACGUAUUUUUUUUAUGAAUCGAUCUGGACCGUAAUAAUUCGGUCCCACCAGAUUAACGGCUCGUAAAAUCUAAUUAACGUGAGAGUUUUAGGAAGUCAAGAAUUAGUAUAGGUAUAGAGGUAUUGAUAGAUAGAUAGAUAGAUAGAUAGAUAGAUAGAUAGAAGUGUUCUCCUUGAGUAUGCACCGUUGCGAAAGUUCUUCGUGCUGAGACACCACGUGAUGAUCGGGUGUGAUAGGCUCUACAUUCAAAUACAACGGGUGCAAAACAGUUGCACACGCAGAAUACUCAGGUUAAACUUGACGAGUCUAGCAUAUACAGAUAUGGCCUCGGAACACUGAGACCGAAAGGUCGAACGUGAAUCAUAUAGUAGAUAUGAUCAACAUAGUGAUGUUCACCAUUGAAACUACUCCAUCUCAUGUGAUGAUCGGACAUGGUUUAGUUGAUUUGGAUCACGUGAUCACUUAGAUGACUAGAGAGGUGUCUGUCUAAGUGGGAGUUCUUAAGUAAUAUGAUUGAUUGAACUUAAAUUUAUCAUGAACUUAGUCCUGGUAGUAUUUUGCAAAUUAUGUUGUAGAUCAAUAGCUUGCGUUGUUGCUUUCAUAUGUUUAUUUUGAUAUGUUCCUCGAGAAAAUUGUGUUGAAAGAUGUUAGUAGAAAUGAUGCGGAUUGGAUCCGUGAUCUGAGGUUUAUCCUCAUUGCUGCACAGAAGAAUUAUAUCCUUAAUGCACCGCUAGGUGACAAACCUAUUGCAGGAGCAGAUGCAGACGUUAUGAACGUUUGGCUAGCUCAAUAUGAUGACUACUUGAUAGUUUAGUGCACCAUGGUUAACUGCUUAGAAUCGGGACUUCAAAGACGUUUUGAACGUCAUGGACCAUAUGAGAUGUUUCAGGAGUUGAAGUCAAUAUUUCAAGCAAAUACCCGAGUUGAGAGAUAUGAAGUCUCCAACAAGUUCUAUAGCUAAAGGAUGGAGGAGAAUCGCUCAACUAGUGAGCAUGUGCUCAGAUUGUCUGGGCACUACAAUCGCUUGAAUCAAGUGGGAGUUAAUCUUCCAGAUAAGAUAGUGAUUGACAGAGUUCUCUAGUCACCAUCACCAAGUUAGUAGAACUUUGUGAUGAACUAUAGUAUGCAAGGGAUGACGAAAACGAUUCCUGAGCUCUUUGUGAUGUUGAAAUCAACAAAGAUAGAAAUCAAGAAAGAGCAUCAAGUGUUGAUGGUGGACAAGAUCAUUAGUUUCAAGAAAAGGGCAAAGGGAAAGAAAGGGGAACUUCAAGUAGAAUGACAAGCAAGUUGUCACUCCCACGAAGAAGCCCAAAGCUGAACCAAAGCCUGAAACUGAGUGCUUCAACUACAAANNNNNNNNNNNNNNNNNNNNNNNNNNNNNNNNNNNNNNNNNNNNNNNNNNNNNNNNNNNNNNNNNNNNNNNNNNNNNNNNNNNNNNNNNNNNNNNNNNNNGAUGUGGGCGCGGCCCACGUGGCGCGCGCGGACUGGACGGGUGGCGGCGGCGGAUGUUGUCCGGUCCGAUCCGGACACGUCCGUCGGUGGCGGGGGUUGAUCUGUUUUUUUUUCGGAGGAGGACGGGGAGGAAUCUGAGAUCCGAAAGGGGGGGUGUAUAUAUAGGCAUAAGUGGAGCUAGGAGAGUCCAAAUGAGGUGCGGUUUUCGCCCACGCGAUCGUGAUCGAACGAUCUAGGACAUGGAGCAGAGUUUGGUGGGUUUUGGAAGAAAUUUGGGGGUGUUGGGCUGCAACACACACGAGGCCUUUUCGGUCCCUCGGUUAACCGUUGGACUAUCAAACGAAGUCCAAAAGGUACGAAACUUGAUAGGUGGUCUACCGGUAGUAAACCAAGGCCGCUUGGCAAGUCUCGGUCCAAUCCGGAAAUGUUUAAUUCCCAGACACGAAACAAAGCUAGAAAUGACCACCGGAGGAGAACGAAGCGCCGGAAUGCAAAACGGACAACGGGGAAAAUGCUCGAAUGCAUGAGAUGAACACGUAUGCAAAUGCAAUGCACAUGAUGAAAUGGUAUGAGAUGCAUGAAAACGAAAACAACACACGGAGACAAAGACCCGAACCUGAGAAAUAAAUAUAACUUGACACCGGAAACGGCAAGAGUUGGAGUACAAAUAGGGAAAGUUACAUCUGGGGCGUUACAACACUCCACCACUACGAAAAGAUCUCGUCCCGAGAUCUAGGACUGAAAGAACUCCGGGUACUCAGAACGAAGGUGAUCCUCGCGUUCCCAGGUAGCUUCACGGUCGGAAUGGUGUGACCACUUAACUUUGAGAAAUUUGAUUGACUUGUUGCGAGUCUUGCGUUCAGUCUCUUCAAGAAUAGCAAAUGGGUGCUCACGAUAAGAGAGAUCUUCUUGGAGCUCAAUGUCCUCGAAGUUGACGGUGCGGUCAGGAGUCUUGAAGCACUUUCGAAGCUGAGAGACAUGGAACACAUCAUGAACAUUUGCAAAGUUUGAAGGAAGCUCGAGUUGAUAGGCGAGGUCGCCUCUCUUGCUGACAAUCUUGAAAGGUCCCACGUAUCUAGGGGCAAGCUUCCCUUUGAUACCGAAGCGACGAGUACCUUUCAUGGGAGAGACGCGGAGGUAAACAUGAUCUCCGAUCUCGAAAGCCAAUUCACGGUGCUUACUAUCAUAGUAGCACUUCUGGCGGGAUUGGGCUGCUUUGAGGUUAUCACGAAUGACUUUGCACAUUUCUUCUGCUUCUGUGAUUAAGUCAUUACCCAGCAGCUGACGUUCACUGGUUUCAGACCAGUUGAGAGGGGUACGGCACUUCCUGCCAUACAAAAUUUCAAAUGGGGCCUUGCCCGAACUUGCUUGAAAGCUGUUGUUGUAUGAGAAUUCAGCAUAAGGAAGACAGUCCUCCCACUUCAUGCCGAAGGAGAUCACACAAGCCCUGAGCAUAUCUUCAAGAAUUUGGUUGACACGCUCGACUUGACCGCUUGUUUGAGGAUGGAAGCUGUGCUGAAGCGGAUGUUGGUGCCCAUGGCCUUCUGAAAAGAAUCCCAAAACUUGGAGGUAAAGAUGCUGCCACGGUCUGAAGAUAUCACUUGAGGAAUACCGUGCAGAGAGACAAUGCGAGAGGUAUAGAGUUCCGCCAAUUGAGCUGCAGUGAUCGACUCUUUGAUAGGCAGAAAAUGAGCCACUUUGGUGAGCUUGUCGAUGACAACAAAUAUAGCAUCAUUGCCACGCUUGGACUUUGGAAACCCAGUCACGAAGUCCAUUUCAAUGUGGUCAAACUUCCAUUCUGGAAUGGCAAGAGGUUGGAGGAGACCAGCUGGCCUUUGGUGUUCUGCCUUCACUAUUCUGCAGACAUCACAUUCAUUCACGAAUUGAGCGAUCUCGCGCUUCAUUCGAGUCCACCAAUAAGCUUGCUUGAGGUCCUGAUACAUCUUCGUACUCCCAGGGUGGAUGGAGAGGAGAGAAUUGUGAGCCUCGUUCAUGAUCACCUUACGAAGUUCACGUUUGGGCACAACAAUUCGAUCCUCGAAGAAGAGAGUGUCCUUGUCAUCAAGUCGGUAGCACUUGUACUUGGACUGACUCUUUGCAAUACCAAUCUUCACCUUCUUCACCAUAUCAUCAAGAAGCUGGGCUUGGCGAAUCUGGUCUUCCAAGGUAGGAGAAACUUGAAGGUUGGCGAGGAAACCUUGAGGAACAACUUGCAGAUUCAGCUUGCGGAAAGCUUCACAAAGCUCGGGUUGAUAAGGCUUGAGAAUCAGACUGUUGCAAUAUGCUUUUCUGCUCAAAGCGUCAGCAAUCACAUUAGCCUUGCCUGGAGUAUACUCGAUACUCGGAUUGUACUCUUGAAUCAUUUCGACCCAUCGAGUCUGCCUGAGGUUGAGAUUAGGCUGAGUGAAGAUGUACUUGAGACUCUUGUGAUCAGUGAAAAUAUCCACUUUCCUUCCCAAUAGAAGAUGUCUCCAAGUCAAAAGAGCAUGCACCACUGCCGCCAACUCGAGAUCAUGAGUGGGGUAGUUCUUCUCAUUAGGCUUCAACUGGCGAGAGGUAUAAGCGACAACUUUCUUCUCUUGCAUCAGUACAGCACCGAGACCUUGGAGAGAGGCAUCACAAAAGACCUCGUACGGCUUGGUUUCAUCAGGCGGAGUCAGAACUGGAGCAGUGAUCAAUUUCUCUUUCAAAGUGUUGAAAGCAAUAUCACACUCCGGAGACCAAACGUACUUGAUGUGCUUCUGAAGAAGAUUUGAGAGAGGCUUGGCGAUCUUAGAAAAGUUUUCAACGAAUCUUCUGCAAUAGCUUGCGAGACCGAGGAAACUGCGGAGUUGCUUUACGUUCUGAGGAGGUUCCCAAUUCACAAUUGCAGACACCUUCUCAGGAUUCACGGAAAUGCCCUUGGCAGAGAUGAUAUGACCAAGAUAAAGAACCUCAUCGAGCCAAAAUUCACACUUGGAGAACUUGGCGUAGAACUGAUGUUCCCUGAGCUUGUCANNNNNNNNNNNNNNNNNNNNNNNNNNNNNNNNNNNNNNNNNNNNNNNNNNNNNNNNNNNNNNNNNNNNNNNNNNNNNNNNNNNNNNNNNNNNNNNNNNNNGUGUUCGAGCGCUAUGUCGAGCAGGAUCACGACAUCGGCAUCCUCCUCGACAUUCACCAGGGCGAGUGCGGGCACGACGCCGCAUCGCGAUCCCUGGUGGCCAAGGCGUUCCGCCACGGUUUCUACUGGCCCACGGCCCUCGAAGACGCCGAGUCACUCGUCCUCAAGUGCGAGGGGUGCCAACACUUCAGCAAACGCAGCCACCAGCCGGCGUCAGCACUCCGCACCAUACUGAUCGUCUGGCCUUUUGCGGUCUGGGGACUCGACAUGGUGGGACCCUUCAAAACCGCUCGAGGCGGCAUGACGCACUUGCUGGUGGCAGUGGACAAGUUCAAAUUGGAUCGAGGCAAGACCUAUCAAGAAACUGGACGGGCCAACAACCGUCCGGUUCAUCAACUACAUAGCAGUGUGCUACGGCAUGCCGAACAGCAUCAUCACCGACAACCGCACCAACUUCGCCAAGGGCGCGCUCGAGCAAUACUACUCUGUCUCUGGCAUCCGCCUCGACCUGGCCUCCGUGGCACAUCCGCAGUCCAACGGGCAGGUCGAGCGGGCCAACAGACUCAUCAUGUCCGGCAUCAAGCCGCGACUCGUCGAGCCACUCAUCCGCUCACCCGGAAGUUGGCUUGACAAGUUGCCUGCAGUUCUCUGGAGUUUACCCACCACGCCGAACCGGUCGACCGGGUUCACCCCGUUCUUCCUCGUUUAUCUAUGAAUAAUAUUGGAAUCUUCUCUGAAUUCUUUUACGGUGUGUUUGUCGAGAUCCGAUGAAUUUUGGGUUUAUGAUCAAGUUUAUCUAUGAAUAAUAUUGGAAUCUUCUCUGAAUUCUUUUAUGUAUGAUUGAGUUAUCUUUGCAAGUCUCUUCGAAUUAUCAGUUUGGUUUGGCCUCCUAGAUUGAUCUUUCUUGCCAUGGGAGAAGUGUUUAGCUUUGGGCUCAAUCUUGCGGUGAUCUUACCCAGCGACAGAAAGGGUUGCAAGACACGUAUUGUAUUGUUGCCAUCGAGGAUAACAAGAUGGGGUUUAUAUCAUAUUGCAUGUGUUUAUCCCUCUACAUCAUGUCAUCUUGCUUAAUGCGUUGCUCUGUUCUUAUGAACUUAAUACUCUAGAUGCAGGCAGGAGUCGGUCGAUGUGUGGAGUAAUAGUAGUAGAUGCAGGCAGGAGUCGGUCUACUUGUUAUGGACGUGAUGCCUAAAUACAUGAUCAUGCCUAGAUAAUGUCAUAAUUAUUAACUUUUCUAUCAAUUGCUCGACAGUAAUUUGUUAAGCCCACUGUAAUAUUUAUGCUCUCGAGAGAAGCCUCUAGUGAAACCUAUGGCCCCCGGGUCUAAUCAUUUUUGCUUUCAAUCUCACAAAAUACCAAAAAUAUUAUUAUCUCUCUAUCAGAUAUCACUUUCGUAAGUGACUGUGAAGGGAUUGACAACCCCUUUAUUGCGUUGGUUGCGAGUUCUCAGUUUGUUUGUGUAGGUGCGUGGGACUUUUGAGGAGCCUCCUACUGGAUUGAUACCUUGGUUCUCAAAACUGAGGGAAUUAUUACGCUACACUUCGCUGCAUCACCCUCUCCUCUUCGGGGAAAACCAACGCUAACUCAAGACGUAGCAAGAAGGAUUUCUGGCGCCGUUGCCAGGGAGGUCUUCGCUCAAGUCGAGACAUACCAAGUACCCAUCACAAACUCAUCUCCCACGCAUUUACAUUAUUUGCCAUUUGCCUCUCGUUUUCCUCUCCCCCACUUCACCCUUGCCGUUUUGCUCGCCCUCUCUUUCCCAAUCUCCUCCUCUCUUUUCCGCUUGCUUUUUCUGUUUGCUUUUGUGUUGGAUUACUUGUUGCCAUGGCGCAAGAUAAUACCAAAUUGUGUGAUUUCUCGAAUACCAAUAAUAAUGAUUUCCUUAGUACUCCGAUUGCUCCUCUUAAUGAUGUUGAGUCUUGUGAAAUCAAUGCUGCUUUGCUGAAUCUUGUUAUGAAAGAUCAAUUCGUCGGCCUUCCUAGUGAAGGUGCCGCUACCCAUCUAAACAAUUUUGUUGAUUUGUGUUAUAUGCAAAAUAAGAAAGAUACGGAUAACAAUAUUGUCAAAUUGAAGUUAUUUUCGUUUUCACUUAGAGAUCGUGCUAAAGUUUGGUUUUCAUCUCUGCCUAAAAAUAGUAUUGAUUCUUGGAACAAGUGCAAAGAGCUUUUAUCUCUAAGUAUUUUGCUCCCACUAAGAUCAUCACUCUUAGGAACGAUAUUAUGAAUUUUAAACAACUUGAUCAUGAGCAUGUUGCCCAAUCUUGGGAAAGAAUGAAAAUGAUGCUUCGCAAUUGCCCUACUCAUGGUUUGAAUUUAUGGAUGAUCAUACAAAAAUUUUAUGCCGGUUUGAAUUUUGCUUCUAGAAAUCUCUUAGAUUCGGCCGCGGGAGGCACCUUUAUGGAAAUCACAUUAGGAGAUGCUACAAAACUUCUUGACAAUAUUAUGUCUAAUUAUUCUCAAUGGCACGCCGGAAGAUCUUCUAGUAAAAAAGUGCAUGCUAUAGAAGAAAUCAAUGUUUUGAGUGGAAAGAUGGAUGAACUUAUGAAGAUGUUUGCUACUAAAAAUACUCCUCUUGAUCCUAAUGAUAUGCCUUUGUCUUCCUUGAUAAGAAUAAUAAUGAAUCUAUGGAUGUGAAUUUUCUUGCUAGGAAUAGUUUUGGAAACAAUGCUUAAAGAGGAAAUUUUAAUGCUAGACCGUUCCCUAGUAAUUCCUCUAAUAAUUAUGGAAAUUCCUACAAUAAUUAUUAUGGUAAUUUUAAUAAGAUGGCCUCUGAUUUUGUGAAUAUUGUGAAAGAAUUUAUGAUUUCUCAAAAGAAUUUUAAUGCUUUGCUUGAAGAAAAAUUGCUCAAAGUUGAUGAUUUGGCUAGGAACGUUGAUAGACUUUCGCUUGAUGUUGAUUCUCUUAAACUUAGACCUUCUCCUCCUAAGCAUGAUAUCAAUGAGUCUCUCAAAAUAAUGAGAAUUUCCAUUGAUGAGUGCAAGGAAAGAACCGCUAGAUUNNNNNNNNNNNNNNNNNNNNNNNNNNNNNNNNNNNNNNNNNNNNNNNNNNNNNNNNNNNNNNNNNNNNNNNNNNNNNNNNNNNNNNNNNNNNNNNNNNNNGUGUUCGAGCGCUAUGUCGAGCAGGAUCACGACAUCGGCAUCCUCCUCGACAUUCACCAGGGCGAGUGCGGGCACGACGCCGCAUCGCGAUCCCUGGUGGCCAAGGCGUUCCGCCACGGUUUCUACUGGCCCACGGCCCUCGAAGACGCCGAGUCACUCGUCCUCAAGUGCGAGGGGUGCCAACACUUCAGCAAACGCAGCCACCAGCCGGCGUCAGCACUCCGCACCAUACUGAUCGUCUGGCCUUUUGCGGUCUGGGGACUCGACAUGGUGGGACCCUUCAAAACCGCUCGAGGCGGCAUGACGCACUUGCUGGUGGCAGUGGACAAGUUCAAAUUGGAUCGAGGCAAGACCUAUCAAGAAACUGGACGGGCCAACAACCGUCCGGUUCAUCAACUACAUAGCAGUGUGCUACGGCAUGCCGAACAGCAUCAUCACCGACAACCGCACCAACUUCGCCAAGGGCGCGCUCGAGCAAUACUACUCUGUCUCUGGCAUCCGCCUCGACCUGGCCUCCGUGGCACAUCCGCAGUCCAACGGGCAGGUCGAGCGGGCCAACAGACUCAUCAUGUCCGGCAUCAAGCCGCGACUCGUCGAGCCACUCAUCCGCUCACCCGGAAGUUGGCUUGACAAGUUGCCUGCAGUUCUCUGGAGUUUACCCACCACGCCGAACCGGUCGACCGGGUUCACCCCGUUCUUCCUCGUUUAUCUAUGAAUAAUAUUGGAAUCUUCUCUGAAUUCUUUUACGGUGUGUUUGUCGAGAUCCGAUGAAUUUUGGGUUUAUGAUCAAGUUUAUCUAUGAAUAAUAUUGGAAUCUUCUCUGAAUUCUUUUAUGUAUGAUUGAGUUAUCUUUGCAAGUCUCUUCGAAUUAUCAGUUUGGUUUGGCCUCCUAGAUUGAUCUUUCUUGCCAUGGGAGAAGUGUUUAGCUUUGGGCUCAAUCUUGCGGUGAUCUUACCCAGCGACAGAAAGGGUUGCAAGACACGUAUUGUAUUGUUGCCAUCGAGGAUAACAAGAUGGGGUUUAUAUCAUAUUGCAUGUGUUUAUCCCUCUACAUCAUGUCAUCUUGCUUAAUGCGUUGCUCUGUUCUUAUGAACUUAAUACUCUAGAUGCAGGCAGGAGUCGGUCGAUGUGUGGAGUAAUAGUAGUAGAUGCAGGCAGGAGUCGGUCUACUUGUUAUGGACGUGAUGCCUAAAUACAUGAUCAUGCCUAGAUAACGUCAUAAUUAUUAACUUUUCUAUCAAUUGCUCGACAGUAAUUUGUUAAGCCCACUGUAAUAUUUAUGCUCUCGAGAGAAGCCUCUAGUGAAACCUAUGGCCCCCGGGUCUAAUCAUUUUUGCUUUCAAUCUCACAAAAUACCAAAAAUAUUAUUAUCUCUCUAUCAGAUAUCACUUUCGUAAGUGACUGUAAAGGGAUUGACAACCCCUUUAUUGCGUUGGUUGCGAGUUCUCAGUUUGUUUGUGUAGGUGCGUGGGACUUUUGAGGAGCCUCCUACUGGAUUGAUACCUUGGUUCUCAAAACUGAGGGAAUUAUUACGCUACACUUCGCUGCAUCACCCUCUCCUCUUCGGGGAAAACCAACGCUAACUCAAGACGUAGCAAGAAGGAUUUCUGGCGCCGUUGCCAGGGAGGUCUUCGCUCAAGUCGAGACAUACCAAGUACCCAUCACAAACUCAUCUCCCACGCAUUUACAUUAUUUGCCAUUUGCCUCUCGUUUUCCUCUCCCCCACUUCACCCUUGCCGUUUUGCUCGCCCUCUCUUUCCCAAUCUCCUCCUCUCUUUUCCGCUUGCUUUUUCUGUUUGCUUUUGUGUUGGAUUACUUGUUGCCAUGGCGCAAGAUAAUACCAAAUUGUGUGAUUUCUCGAAUACCAAUAAUAAUGAUUUCCUUAGUACUCCGAUUGCUCCUCUUAAUGAUGUUGAGUCUUGUGAAAUCAAUGCUGCUUUGCUGAAUCUUGUUAUGAAAGAUCAAUUCGUCGGCCUUCCUAGUGAAGGUGCCGCUACCCAUCUAAACAAUUUUGUUGAUUUGUGUUAUAUGCAAAAUAAGAAAGAUACGGAUAACAAUAUUGUCAAAUUGAAGUUAUUUUCGUUUUCACUUAGAGAUCGUGCUAAAGUUUGGUUUUCAUCUCUGCCUAAAAAUAGUAUUGAUUCUUGGAACAAGUGCAAAGAGCUUUUAUCUCUAAGUAUUUUGCUCCCACUAAGAUCAUCACUCUUAGGAACGAUAUUAUGAAUUUUAAACAACUUGAUCAUGAGCAUGUUGCCCAAUCUUGGGAAAGAAUGAAAAUGAUGCUUCGCAAUUGCCCUACUCAUGGUUUGAAUUUAUGGAUGAUCAUACAAAAAUUUUAUGCCGGUUUGAAUUUUGCUUCUAGAAAUCUCUUAGAUUCGGCCGCGGGAGGCACCUUUAUGGAAAUCACAUUAGGAGAUGCUACAAAACUUCUUGACAAUAUUAUGUCUAAUUAUUCUCAAUGGCACGCCGGAAGAUCUUCUAGUAAAAAAGUGCAUGCUAUAGAAGAAAUCAAUGUUUUGAGUGGAAAGAUGGAUGAACUUAUGAAGAUGUUUGCUACUAAAAAUACUCCUCUUGAUCCUAAUGAUAUGCCUUUGUCUUCCUUGAUAAGAAUAAUAAUGAAUCUAUGGAUGUGAAUUUUCUUGCUAGGAAUAGUUUUGGAAACAAUGCUUAAAGAGGAAAUUUUAAUGCUAGACCGUUCCCUAGUAAUUCCUCUAAUAAUUAUGGAAAUUCCUACAAUAAUUAUUAUGGUAAUUUUAAUAAGAUGGCCUCUGAUUUUGUGAAUAUUGUGAAAGAAUUUAUGAUUUCUCAAAAGAAUUUUAAUGCUUUGCUUGAAGAAAAAUUGCUCAAAGUUGAUGAUUUGGCUAGGAACGUUGAUAGACUUUCGCUUGAUGUUGAUUCUCUUAAACUUAGACCUUCUCCUCCUAAGCAUGAUAUCAAUGAGUCUCUCAAAAUAAUGAGAAUUUCCAUUGAUGAGUGCAAGGAAAGAACCGCUAGAUUNNNNNNNNNNNNNNNNNNNNNNNNNNNNNNNNNNNNNNNNNNNNNNNNNNNNNNNNNNNNNNNNNNNNNNNNNNNNNNNNNNNNNNNNNNNNNNNNNNNNAUUAUAGUAUUUGAAAUAUAACAGCGCCAUUUGUGUCUAGCAGGAAGAGGAGCAGCGGGACUAUAUCCGGGGAUCCCGCCAAUCACGCCUCCACCAGUCGGGUUCCAGAAUCGGCUUCGAGGGCGGAGGCGGACACGAGGCCAGUUCCGCAUAGUUCUCCGACAGAGGAUGCGGAUAUGUUGUCGGCUACGAACUCCGAAGUGGAGAGCGCCAUGAAUCACCGGCGUCGGAGGGCCGUGCUUCGAAACAACAUCUUUUUCGAAGAGGCAUUUAAUGCCUUCAAUUCGGGGGAUGCAUAUAUCCGAGUAGCUCAAGGCGGGCUUGCCCAAGCGACGGACCAGUAUACCAAAGAUAUACGGGUAAGAAAUUUUGAUAAGCAUGUAUAACAGUAGCCCCUGAGACUUGAAAUGGUUGGAACAACUGUUUGAAGGAUCAAUUUAUGCACAGGUCCUUGUAGAUAAGAAUGAACAAUUGGCUCAGGAGCUGGAGGAAUGCAAGGCCCAGUUGAGGGACACGGCUGCCAAGUUAGAGGAAUCCCAAAAGGCCUCAUCUGGUAACAUUUGUCUCAAUUGUACGAAGAUGCACCAGUUAGUAAAUGGUUGGUAUAACAAGUCUAACAGAGAAGUCUGCAGACAAUCCCGGGCUGAAUCUGGAGGGCGUAAGGGAUGACGACUCGCAUCUCAAAAGGCAGCUAAAGGCUGGCGAGUGCAUUCUUACGCAAGUUAGGUAGGAGAAGAACAAUCUUCAAGAUGCCAAAGUCCAGCUGGACGUGGAGUUAAAAGACGUCCGUGCUCAGCUGGCGGACUCCGUGAAGGAGAACAAAAGGCUUCGACGCGACAUUUAUGGUAAGGGCAUAGACGAACUGUAGUAUAGUUCGGCGAGGAAGUAUAUUGAAAGAAUUUUGCUCGCAGGAAUGUUAACGGGUCACCCUGAAAAGGAUAUGCCCUCAUCUGCAAGUGAUUUACUACAAGACCUCUCGCAAUUGCACGAGCGAGCUCGACAAGUGAUGCAGGGUGUUGCUCAGGCCUUGUGGCCACCAAGCUUACUGCCGAAUGGCAUGGGGGAGCUUGUGGACAUGCUUCAAGGAGCACGGCGGCGCUUCCGAUUGUGGAAGAUGUCAGCUUGCCGGCAAGGUGCGAGAGAAGCCUGGGCUAUGGUGAAGACGCGCUACACCAAGCUAGACCCGAACCAUAUGGCCGAAGUAGGACUGGCGGGGCCCGAUGGGCAAGAAAUUCCUGUGAGUCUAGUAUAUGACCAGGUAGUGUUAGCCGCCAAGUAUUCUCAACAGGAUUGUAAGCUAGAUAGCCUGUUGGAUGGUAUAGAGGAGGAAUAUAGUCAGUCCAAGUGACUGUGUAAUUCAAUGGACGUAAUUAGUCCCUAGCCGGAUUAAAAUCAUUUGUCAUGGCGGACCUUUUCGCUUCAGCUCCCGGAUCCUAUAGUCUGGGGUGUGUCCGAAUACCCGCUCAGUUAUACAAAACCGGGGUAUGCAUGGAAACCAGGCAUAGGGGUCAUAAGUGCUUGAACUGACAAGUACCCAACUAGUUAUGUUAUAUUACAUGGAUAGUAAGAAACAUCUUCCAGGGAGAAUAGUUCCGUUAGGGGUUCCUUUCCCAGGGUACGCAUGCAACAAUGUACAUGUCCGGACUGUGAACGAUGGCGCAGGAUACAAGACUUCUGGGGAUUUACGUUGUAACAAACGAAUACAUCCUUUGUUCACCGACCGAAUAUUCUCUUAUAGAAACUAGCUUUCGACUUCACCUAGUCUGAGGUACACAUCCGGCUGAACCGGCAGUAACAGUCGCAGAGGUGCUCCCCUUAUGCCCUAGCCGAAUUAACGGGAACGUAGGCAUAAACACAAGAGCCAGGCAACCCAGCUUGGCCACAUCUUAAGUCAUAUCGAUGCAUAUAAUGGUGAAUAAAAGGCACAUAUGGAAAAAGAAAUGCAUAUGUGAUAGGAGAAAAGCCAUUAGAGUAUUUAUUGUUAGCUUCCAUAUAGGAAGCCCCCAGGUAUUGCUUACACACAUAGUGCGUCCGGAGUGAUCCGGAAGUCCGUAUUGUAUUAAAUACUUUGUGUGGAGAGGAAGAAAAAGUCGAGAAAGGAGAAGGGAUGGAGCAUAAAUAAAAGGGAGGGAGUAAGGAGACGAACAUUGUGUUCAACGUUAGGCGUAGAAUCUCUGGAGUCUGGCCGAGUUCCAUGGGUUCGGCUCGAGCCUGUUAUCGGAUGCAUUACGUAAGCGGUACGCUCCUCCGGUGAGAACUUUGUCGAUGACAAAGGGACCUUCCCACUUGGGUUUGAGCUUGUCCUUCUUCUUCUCCGGUAGGCGUAGAAUGAGUUCGCCAAUAUUGUAAGUUUUGGCCCGUACUUCUCUGCUUUGGUAUCGUCGAGCCUGCUAUUGAUAGAAUGCGGAGCGGGUCUUUGCGACGUCGCGCUCCUCCUCCAGGGCAUCCAAGUUAUCUUGCUGAUCUAGCUCGGCUUCCUUCUCUUCGUACAUGUGUACGCGUGGAGAAUCAUGUAUUAUGUCGCAUGGUAGUACUGUUUCCGCGCCGUACACCAUAAAAAAUGGUGUGUAUCCGGUGGUGCAAUUCGGCGUGGUCCGUAGCCCCCAGAGUACGGAGUCGAGCUCUUCGACCCAGUGCGUGUCCGACUCUGUCAAGGAUCGCACUAGCCUGGGUUUGAUGCCACUCAUGAUGAGACCGUUUGCCCGUUCGACCUGGCCGUUUGUUUGGGGAUGGUAGACGGAAGCAUAGUCGAGCUUAAUGCCCAUUUUGCCGCACCAAGUUUUUACUUCAUCGGCUGUGAAAUUGGAGCCAUUAUCAGUGAUGAUGCUGUGGGGGACACCGUAUUGGUGUACGACCCCGGAUAUGAAGUCUAUUACUGGUCUGGAUUCGGCCGUUUUGACUGGUUUGGCUUCUAUCCAUUUGGUGAACUUGUCCACCAUGACCAAUAAGUAUUUUUUUUCUUAUGGCUUCCCCCUUUAAGAGGUCCGACCAUAUCCANNNNNNNNNNNNNNNNNNNNNNNNNNNNNNNNNNNNNNNNNNNNNNNNNNNNNNNNNNNNNNNNNNNNNNNNNNNNNNNNNNNNNNNNNNNNNNNNNNNNUCCUUGGCCGCCACCCCUUGCUCCUAUAUAAGUAGAUCCAUCUAGUAGCUUUUCCUUGGGAUUUGUUUAGUUAAAAGUUAGCCAUUGCAACUUCGUGUACUUCGUUUGUGUCCAACGACCAGACCAAGACCGCUUCCGGAUCCCCACCAUUAUCAAUACCUCAUAUAUAUUUGCAAUAUUCAGAUUGCUUUAUCAUAUUCUUGCUCGUUCUUCGAUUGCUUGCAGGAAUAGACCUUCGUGGUCAGGCUGACCGUGCUUCCGGCGUCGUCAGUAACCUCAGGAGAUUGGUUUAGCGAUUGCUAAGGCGCAACGUCGUGCACGUUUGUAGUCGGAUUGUCAAAGUCGUCUCCACCAAAUCGAUAGUUAUCAUCUCAUCGAAAGAUCGGGACCCUCGCCUCUAUCAAGUGGUAUCAGUUUUCAGGUUGCUCGGUGAGAAUUUCCAGUUUUCCUAGAUUAAAUUUAUUUUCUUACCUAUUGUCCAAGAAAAAGCCACACAAAAAAAAAAGUUAGAUCUGUUCAUCCUUUAUCCAAGCCAGUCUGAGCCUUUGCAAUUUUCUAUUCAUUGCUUGCAUAGUUGAAUUAUCGGUUGCAUCGUCGUGUCAGUUGCUGGUCUUAGCGUCUAGCUCCUUUAGAAUUUCGAGUUCUGUUCACAUUAGUCACGCCGCCGCUGCAUCAUUAUCCCUUCCGCUGUCCACCAUCCCAUCUAUUAAUUUCCAUCACGUGCUACGCACUGUUCAUUGUCAUAAUCAUAGUUGAGGUCAUUCACAUCUUGGCCUGAUCCAAUAUGCAUCUUAUCUAGUUUGUCUUGGAAAGAAAAAAAAGAUAGAGAAAAAAAAAGAGAAAAAAGGAAAGAAAAAAAAAGAAAAAGAGAGAGAAGAAAAAGAAAAAAAGGGUGAGAAAAAAAAGAGAGAAGAAAAAAAAUUGGAUCUAUCUAGAAUCAAUCUCGUACCUGAAUUCGGAUUGGAAUCUGUUUUGCGCACUGUUCAGUAAAACAGGUGUAUCUUCCUCAUACGAAGUCCGUUUUGGCUCCGUGAGUACUCAAAUUGAAGCUAGCAACAAGCCGCAUCUAAAUAGUUGCAGAAGCUAGUUCAAUAUUUGACACCACAAAAUCGGCUUCUAAAUAGGUCUUUUUGCCCUCCGAAGUUCGUGAACACAACUUGUUCCAAUUUUUCAGGCCAGUUUUAGAAUUCUUUGACUCCUCAUAUCAACUCGGAAUUGAGUGAUUCUUUUUGCAUUGGAAAGCUUGAGUUACUAGCAUUCUUUGAAAGAAUUUAUCAGAAAAUUGUCUCAAACUUUUCAAGAGGAAAGUUGGAGAGAGAGUUGUUGUAUAUCCUGCUUGGCAGUUGUUGGCGAGUUCACCUUAUCUUCAAUAGCCUUAGCUCGGGCUCGUGUCAUGGGUCCAAGAGGUGUUGAGGGAGAUGUAGGCACGUCCAUGGGGAUGAGUGAGGGAUGCUCCGCAUCACAUGGGCCCUUGGCCCGCUCCCUGCGCAUAGGCAGGUGCCGGAUGUCCGGGCUGGGGGCUGGACGUCCGGCGGCUCGGGAAGAGCCGGAUGUCCGGGCCUCUGGCCGGAUGUCCGGGCUGACGGGGUUCAGCUUCGGGUGCGUUCUGUGAUGGGCGCCGGAUUUCCGGGGUCGGGCCGGAUGUCCGGGCUGGUCCGGAUGUCCGGGCUGGGGCCGGAAGUCCGGGGCCUGUAGUAGCUGGCUCUUCUUCCUUCUCCUCUUCAAUGCUUGGCCUUGGUCCUUUGAUUCUCCAUGGUCAUCUCGGUUGUACCUGAGUAUAGGCAAGGUCCAUGCAUGAGGUAGUAGCCAUGUCUCACAUGUGGAAAGUGAUGGUUCGAAGAGGAGUGAAUUCACCUUGUGUCCAAUGGCAUAUGUUUGAGGUCUCGUCAUAUGUCCUCUUGGGGCUUGGAGAGUAGUCAGAGUGUACAUGGGGAUGAACGUGGGACGCUCCGCAUCUGGGAGUAUAUAUAGUCUAAGGGGCGAAGGGGUACAUGGGACUCGGCCCAGAUGUGCUGCACGCAGGCAGGGGGGACGAAUGUCCGGGCGUCAGGCCGGAUGUCCGGGCCUUCUCGAGAUGCCGGAUGUCCGAGCUGGCGGGCCGGAUGUCCGGGCUGGAAUGGCCGAUUCUUCUGCUCUCUGGAUAACUUGAUGAGGACAUGACUACCUUGGAUAUGACCAAAAAUAUUGCAUAUAUGCAUAUUUGUCAGGUGAUUUCUAGUGCAAACUAUUCAAUAAUCUAUUUAUGUUAUCCAGAACAAAAAUACUUCACACACUUUUGUGUUUUGUCUAAUUGCAGGUGUAUGGGACAUUUGUACAAUCCACAUAUGAAGAUAAGGAAGAAAGAGAUGUUUAUUUGCUGUCCAAAAAGUUCUCUCACGUCACUUUUGGCCCAAGAGAAGAUAGAGUCCAAGUCUCUCACGUUCUGGAUUCAGAUUCGGACUGCACAGACAUACCUGACUCAAAACGCACACAAAUUUUUCAUACGGACUCGAAUUGGGUGAUUCUUUUUUUGUUGGAAACUAGAUUUCGUGCACUUUCCAACCCAAUUGGAAUCACCUUCAAAUUCGUCAGGAGCGUUGAGUUGUGGACGAAACAAUCUGAUGCUGCAGCAGAAUCCGAGUCAAACUACAAGUCCAAAGGUGUUACAUCACCUCCACUUGGGCCCAUUGGCCUUGUACGACCUAGAUUUAGUUUUAGGCUGCCUUGGGACGUCCUCCCACCUCCUUGGCCGCCACCCCUUGCUCCUAUAUAAGUAGAUCCAUCUAGUAGCUUUUCCUUGGGAUUUGUUUAGUUAAAAGUUAGCCAUUGCAACUUCGUGUACUUCGUUUGUGUCCAACGACCAGACCAAGACCGCUUCCGGAUCCCCACCAUUAUCAAUACUUCAUAUUUAUUUGCAAUAUUCAGAUUGCUUUAUCAUAUUCUUGCUCGUUCUUCGAUUGCUUGCAGGAAUAGACCUUCGUGGUCAGGCUGACCGUGCUUCCAGCAUCGUCAGUAACNNNNNNNNNNNNNNNNNNNNNNNNNNNNNNNNNNNNNNNNNNNNNNNNNNNNNNNNNNNNNNNNNNNNNNNNNNNNNNNNNNNNNNNNNNNNNNNNNNNNGCAUUCAGUUUGGAUAAAGUUCAUUUGAACCAAGGGUUCAAAUGCAACUCUAUAUUAAACCCUUUAAAAUGACAUUUAUGUGUUUUCGUAUAUUUAGUAGGUAUAGUUUGGUUUAUCAUGCAUGAAAAUGGUGCAGAUGGAUAGAUUUAUUUUUUCUGAUAAUUUUUCAUAUUUAAAUUAUUUCCAACUAAGGCACUGAUGAAUUCCUAUGAAUUUUUGAAUUUUUUUUAAAAUUUCUAGGAUUUCCUGAAUUAAAUUAAACCCAGAAAAACAAUUACUGUGUCAUGCUUGCAUCAGCAAGUCAAUAACGCUGACCAGGUCAAACCUCACAUGUGGGGUCCACACGUCAGUGACACAAGGUUUAAACAAGGGUUAUUUAGUCUAAUUAAAUGGUUAGUGGGCAUUGGGGCCCGCCGUCAACAUCACAGGGGGUGGAUUAGCACUAAUUAGGUACCUAACUGGUGGGGGCCAUAUUGGUCAGUGGCUUAGGCCGGCAGAGUGCGCUUUUCCGGCGACGAGGGCGGCGGCUGAGGGCACCGGGAUGUAGCUCGUGCUCUCCCGCAUCCUGUGGGGUAUGUGGGAGGCUGCGGGGUGAUACGUCUCCAAUGUAUCUAUGAUUUAUGAAGUAUUCAUGCUAUUAUAUUAUCUGUUUUGGAUGUUUAUGGGCUUUACUAUACACUUUUAUGUUUUUUUUGGGACUAACCUAUUAACCGAAGGCCCAGCCCAUAUUGCUAUUUUUUUUUGCUUAUUUCAGUGUUUCGAAGAAAAGGAAUAUCAAACGGAGUCCAAACGGAAUGAAACAUUCGGGACAGUUAUUUUUGGAACGGAAGCAAUCCAGGAGACUUGGAGUAGAUGUCAGGGAAGCUUAGAGGUGGCCAUGAGGGUCAAGGGCGCGCCCUACCCCCUGGGCACGCCCCCCACCCUCGUGGGUCCUUCAUGGCUCCCCUGACCGACUUCUUUCGCCUAUAUAUAUCCAUAUACCCUAAAAACAUCGGAGAGCACAAUAGAUCAGGGGUUCCGUCGCGGCAAGCCUCUGUAGCCACCAAAAACCAAUCAGGACCCUGUUCCGGCACCCUACCGGAGGGGGGAUCCCUCACCGGUGGCCAUCUUCAUCAUCCUGACACUCUCCAUGAUGAGGAGGGAGUAGUUCACCCUCGUGGCUGAGGGUAUGUACCAGUUGCUAUGUGUUUGAUCUCUCUCUCUCUCUCUCUCUCUCUCUCUCUCUCUCGUAUUCUUGAGGUGAUACGAUCUUGAUGUAUCGCGAGCUUUGCUAUUAUAGUUGGAUCUUAUGAUGGUUCUCCCCCUCUACUCUCUUGUAAUGGAUUGAGUUUUCCCUUGAAGUUAUCUUAUCAGAUUGAGUCUUUAAGGAUUUGAGAACACUUGAUGUAUGUCUUGCUGUGCUGAUCUGUGGUGACAAUGGGAUAUUCACGUGAUCUACUUGAUGUAUGUUUUGGUGAUCAACUUGCGGGUUCAGUGACCUUGUGAAUUUAUGCAUAGGGGUUGGCACACGUUUUCAUCUUGACUCUCCGGUAGAAACUUUGGGGCACUCUUUGAAGUACUUUGUGUUGGUUGAAUAGAUGAAUCUGAGAUUGUGGGAUGCAUAUCGUAUAAUCGUGCCCAUGGAUACUUGAGGUGACAUUGGAGUAACUAGGUGACAUUAGGGUUUUGGUGGAUUUGUGUCUUAAGGUGUUAUUCUAGUACGAACUCUAUGAUAGAUCGAACGGAAAGAAUAGCUUCGUGUUAUUUUACUACGGACUCUUGAAUAGAUCGAUCAGAAAGGAUAACUUUGAGGUGGUUUCGUACCCUAUAAUAAUCUCUUCGUUUGUUCUCCGCUAUUAGUGACUUUGGAGUGACUCUUUGUUGCAUGUUGAGGGAUAGUUAUAUCAUCCAGUUAUGUUAUUAUUGUUGAGAGAACUUGUACUAGUGAAAGUAUGAACCUUAGGCCUUGAUUCCUAGCAUUGCAAUACCGUUUGUGCUCACUUUUAUAAUUAGUUACCUUGCUGUUUUUAUAAUUUCAGAUUACAAAUACUCAUAUCUACCACCCAUAUUGCACUUGUAUCACCAUCUCUUCGCUGAACUAGUGCACCUAUACAAUUUACCAUUGUAUUGGGUGUGUUGGGGACACAAGAGACUCUUUGUUAUUUGGUUGCAGGGUUGCUUGAGAGAGACCAUCUUCAUCCUAUGCCUCCCAAGGAUUGAUAAACGUUAGGUCAUCCACUUGAGGGAAAUUUGCUACUGUCCUACAAACCUCUGCACUUGGAGGCCCAACAACGUCUACAAGGAGAAGGUUGUGUAGUAGACAUCAAGCUCUUUUCUGGUGCCAUUGCCGGGGAGGUGAGUGCUUGAAGGUAUAUCUUUGGAUCUUGCAAUCGAAUCUUUUAGUUUCUUGUUUUAUCACUAGUUUAGUCUAUAAAAGAAAACUACAAAAAAUGGAAUAGAGGGUGCCUCAUAUGCUUCAUCUUUUUAAUGUCUUCUCUGAAAAUAAGGAUUCCGACAAUUGUGCUCAAGUACUAGAAGAAGAAUUACAUAGAAUGCUUGGCAUAAAAUAUGUGAAUGUUGAGCAUGAUUGAAAUGUUGUUAGUAUGAAUUCUUUGAAUACCCAUGAUGCUAAUGAUAUGCCAAGCCACAAGCUUGGGGAUGCUAUGUUUGAUGAAUAUGAUAUUUUUUGUCCCCCAAGUUUUGAUGAGAAAAUUUAUUAUGAUGAAAGCAUGCCUCCUAUUUAUGAUGAUUAUUGUGAUGAUACAUAUGCCAUAAAGAAUAAACAUAACCAUGAAACUUGUCAUCAUGAUUUUAAUUUUCAAUUGGAUUAUGCUUCAUAUGAUAGUUAUUUUGUUGAGUUUGCUCCCACUACUAUUCAUGAGAAGAAGUUUGCUUAUGUGGAGAGUAGUAAAAUUUAUAUGCUUCUGCAUCAUGAAAAUAAUGCUUUAUGUGAUGGAUAUAUUGUUGAAUUCAUUCAUGAUGCUACUGAAAAUUAUUAUGAGGAAGGAACAUAUGCUNNNNNNNNNNNNNNNNNNNNNNNNNNNNNNNNNNNNNNNNNNNNNNNNNNNNNNNNNNNNNNNNNNNNNNNNNNNNNNNNNNNNNNNNNNNNNNNNNNNNGGGAGCAGUUCUUGCGUUCCCUACUUGUACUCUUGUAACUCUGACCAUGCAAUACAAUUGACUGUGGCUUGACUCAUCUCUCAGCUCUCACUAGUCCCAUUAUAUGUCUUAAAACGUUAAUUUCUUUUAUUACAUAACAGUACAUAUUUUACCAUCUCACUAGUCCCACUAAUAAUACAAUUCAGUUUCUUCAGAUGGAUGAUCAAGGCAGGAUGAUAGACUUUGGUAUUCAAGGCCAUGAGUUCAGUCAAAGGACUACAAUACCUUGUCCAAAUAUUGGUCACCAUCAGGACAAUGGUACAAUUUCUCUUAUUCUUAUUCAAUUUAAUAUGGUAAAAUUUAAUCAUGGAAACAAAAUUGCAUAAUGUUCAAUAUAUUCAAGGACUUGAUGACCUGGAGUUUACUCAAGGAGCUACAGGACAUCAAACAAAUAUUGGUCAGGACAAUGGUAUUGAUUCUCUUAUUCUUGGUUAAGUUAAUUUGGUGAAAUUAAUACGGAAGCACAAUUGCAUAAUAUUUUGUGUAUUUCAGGACUUGCUGAUUUGGAGUUCAGUCAAAGGAUCAUAGGACGCCGUCCUAAUUUUGGUACGCUGCAACGUUGUGAUGACCUCGACUUUGACCAAAGGAGUGCAAGGCAGCAUGAGGAUAGUGGUACAAGAUCUCUUAAUCUCAGUCUUGUUAAUGUGGUAAAUUACUGAAAUUUAAUCAUGUAUGCUAGAUUCGCAUCAUUAGAUUCGUUUUGAAAUGUACUUUAUAGGAAAAACUAGUAGCAUUUAUGGCACUAGAUUCGCAUCACUAGAUUCGUUUUGAAAUGUACUUUCAUAAUAUACCAAUUUGAUGUCAUGUAUGCUACUACUUUUUUCUAUAAAGUUUGUCAAAAUUAUAAAACUUUGACUUUGUACAAAAGGUAGAUGUACACUUAUUCACAGGGAACGAGUAUCUUAAAGCCAACAUUUCAGCACUAAAAGCAUUUCUAGCUUUUCCAUAAACUUAACUCCUCAAAUCACCUUCUAUAAUUAAUAUUUUUGGGACCGUUUAUUUAAUCGGUGCCUAAAAAAUGUUUUCAAGAGUCACUUUCUUUCCCGACCAUCAGAUCAAUAUCCAACGGCUUCAAUCAUCCUACGGACUGUUCAACUUCUUCCUCCCGACGACAAUUUCUCCUCCCCCGACAGCCUAUCUCGCCAGAUCCGCCUGCCUCCAUCCCCCGUGGUCGGCGGGCGCUACCGUACACCGCCUCGCCGCCCCACUCCCCCCCAACUCCCAUCCACCAUCGUUGCUGCCCCACCGCAUCGGCCAUCCUUCUAAGCCCCACACCACUGGUGAAAACUCGGGCGACUCCCUUCACCCCAUCCCUAAGAUAGAUAAUGGGGUUGUGACUCCCCUUGAAAUAGAUAGUGGGGCUAUGGCUUUCUCCGGCGAGCUCAGAAUGAACUAGAGAAAGUGACAUACGUGAAGAAAAUUUUCGGGCACCUGAGAUAUAGCAAAAUCGAACCUUUUUAAAUUUUGUGAAGCUAAACAUUCUUGCACCUAGCCCUUCUCCUAAUCUUUAGUCACUAUAUGUUCUACCUAUCUCAUCCAUCUUUCUACAUAGGCAUUUCCACACCAUUUCAUGUUUUCAACAAUAUUCUCAUUAGCACCACUACCACUAGUGUAACCACCAAAGAACCUCGACCUUGCCAAGAUCUCUCCAGGAACAAUUUACCAAUCUUGUCUCAUCCUUUCAUUCAUACUCGGUUAUUGGCACUACACUGGUCGGUGAGUUGUUCACUUGCUCAACACAAUCGGACCAUCAAUGUCACUGAUCUUGGAUGCUACUUCAGCGAUGAGCAGAGAUACCCAUGCGUGUGAUUGGAUGGAAUCAAAACAUUGUGUGAAUAUUAUUGCUCAAUCCUCCUCUAAAUUAUUUCCUUGGUUUGAUCGACUCCUCCAGCCCUGGCGUCAAGAGAGACAUGUUCAUUCAAGCAUUGCACAAAGUUAUGUCCUCCUCAACCUUGUAGUUCACUGACCUUGUUAGCUCUCUCUUCAUGGUAUGUGUGUGUGGUUACCCUCUAUUUCGACACUAUGUCUCUCUCCUUGGCUUUCAUCUGCCACAGAAAUGACAACAUCAUUGAGGUCAAUGGCGUUCCUUUCAUCCAGCGCCAUGAAUUUUUCCAGGUCACCCAACUCGUUUUGCAUAGUACGAUGUCAAAAACCAUCACCAAAUUUCAAUGUCACAUGAUCCAAGAUUUUGAGAAAAAAUAAUAAUACAAAAACACUUACCUAUCUCGCAUUGUGUCCAACACCUCGCGAGCAUAGGAUCAUUCUCAUCACAUGAACUACCAUAGAUCGUUUUGCAAAAUUAAACAAUCCAACAUUCUCGAUCACAACACACGAUUUUUGCACCAAUAAACAACCAAACACUUCUAAUGGGAGGGAUGACUGCAAAAACCAGAAGUGCUACUCAAACUAUACACUAAACAAUAACAAGAAGCUCUUCUCAAACUACAUGACCAAAGUAAACUAGGGAUACAAAUGCACUAUGACAAGUAGUGCUGAUCGCACAACCAUGGAACUAAACCUGAUAUACAAUCCAUAAGACAUCUAGUACGACAUCAUCGUGGAUCCUAGGUUGUCGUGACCUCCGUUCCUCGCGCAGACGACUCCCCCAGGGAAGACAAUCCACCUAGUCUCAGUGUCCAUACCUACAAGAGCCCUGAUCACCUCAAAUUGCUUCAUAAUGACUUUUUAUGAUAUGCAAUAUAUACUUAUGAAAAAUACUUAUACUCUGAUAUUCAGUUGUUGGGGCCAAUGUAUCUGAGCUAAAACCACAACAUUGUCGAACAAUGAUGUUUUCACGAUGGUGUGGUUAUGUGACGUGAUUGCAGCUAGGACACACUCUGUGAUGAAUGUGAAUGAUAACACAAAGGAAAAAAUUCCUCCAUACCUGCGACAGCGAUGUAACACUGCAACAUGCACUGACGCAGGUCUAGAUGAAUUUUUUCUUGAUGGGUGAAGGGNNNNNNNNNNNNNNNNNNNNNNNNNNNNNNNNNNNNNNNNNNNNNNNNNNNNNNNNNNNNNNNNNNNNNNNNNNNNNNNNNNNNNNNNNNNNNNNNNNNNAAAAACAAAAGAAUAAAUAUAACAGAAAAGAAAAAAGAAACUAUAUAGAAAACUACUCAGAAAUGAAUAGAAGCAAAAAAUAGUUGUGGUUAACUGUACUAAAAAAGGAGCAUAUAUCCUUAUUUUUAAUGGCUUAUUACAACUCAGAAAUAAAAAGAAAAAAAUAAAUAUAGCAGAAAAGAAAAAAAAUAUGAAAAACUACUUAGAAAUGAGCAUAGAUGCGCUUAUAGAGGAAAAUUAACUUAAAUUCAUAAUGAAUUUCAAACGAAAUCCAUAUGAAUUUAGGCGAAUUUCCCUAUAUAAGGGCAUCUAUUUUCAUUUUCAGAGGAGCUCAAUAUGGCAGAGAGGGAGGGGCUUAUAAACCGGUCCGAUUCCCCUUCGGUUGGCGAGGUGGGACUAAACUCUGGCCGCAACAAGGACCAACCCUUCGGUCCCGGUUCGUACCACCAACCGGGACCAAUGGUGGUGGGCCAGGAGCGGGGCGCAUUGGUCCCGGUUCGUCCCACCAACCGGGACCAAUAGGUCCAGCCGAACCGAAACCAAUGGCCCACGUGGCCCUGCCGGCCCCCGGGGCUCAAGAACCGGGUCCAAUGCCCCCAUUGGUCCCGGUUCUGGAUUGAACCGAGACUAAUGGGCUGGACCGGCCUGGACCAUUGCCCCCUUUUCUACUAGUGAUUCUCCCACUCACCUUUUUGAAAGAACCAUUCUCUUUAAAAGCAUACCGUUUCGUGACAAAACUAUUUGCCUUGGUAUAGUGAGGAAGGAGUACCCAAUGACUUGGGAUAACCUACAAAGUAGCACUUGUCUGAUUUGGAAUAGGUUUGUAACCUUUUACACAAGCCCCAUAUUCCAAAUGUUUAAGAAAAGAUAUAACAUGGUUGGGCGUACCAUACCAUGGUGUCAUUUCAACAGACCCGAUGGAGCUCUUUUCAGCGUAAAAGCCGCAGUAUCUAAAGCAUCACUCUUUAAAAGGGAUAAUGGCAAAUUUAUUGAUGUCAUCUUUGAUCUUACCAUGUCAUAAAUGGUUUGAUUACAUCUUCACAGACUUUCCACUUGCAGUGGUAUUCUGGGAAGUGCAAGUUAUGAAUCCCCUUUCACAACUCAUCAGACAUUCGCUAAACUUGUAACUCAAAUAUUCCUUUCUGCAAUCAAAUUGUAGAAACAUAAUUUUCUUGUUACAAUAACUUCUACUUCAUUUCUGAAAACCUUUCGAAUGAUUUCAAAAGAUCCAGACUUACGUCUCAUCAAGUAAAUAUCCAUAUAUCUACUUGAGCCAUUUCUGAAGAUAGAUAAAUCCACUACUUGCAACAUUUAUCGGACUACAUACAUCAAAUGUAUGAUCACCAAUAAGUUUGCUGUUCAUUCUUUAUUGCCUGUGAAUGGUAUUUCAGUCACUUCACCUUUCGGAGGAAAGUUGCAAGUGUCAGAUGAUUCAAAAUCAAAUGACUUCAAAAUCCAUCAUAAUGGAAUUUUCCAUGCGGGUUUCCCCAAAUGUGACCAAAUGUAGUGCCACACUUGUGUGGUAUUCUUUUAGUCUUGCGACAUUUAGCGUCAGUGUUAUGGAUGUAUCAUAUUACCAUCAAUAUUCAUAACAUACAUCCCAUCUUGGAUGGAAGCAUGGCCCUUCAUGUUAUUCAUAAUACUGAACAACAAUUGUUGUUUUUAUGAAUAACCUCUCUUGCAAAAACAUUGUGCAAUGGGCUAGAGUGUAUGAAACUCUAAAAUGAAUUAUGAAAAUAAACCUAGAGGUAAUGUAUUAUUAUCAAUAUUCAUAACAUACAUCUCAUUCAUAAUGAAAGUAUGGCCCUUAUGUUAUUCAUAACAUCGAACAUAAAAAGUUCUCUUAUGAACAACCUUCUUGCAAGAUACCUUAUGCAAUGGGCUAGAGUGUGAAACUCUAAAUGAAUUAUGAAAAUAAAUACAGACGGUAAUACACCGACAAAAAGUAUAGUAACAUUUACCAUGUUCCCUGUGUAUACCUAAACCUCAUUCCUGGCUAGUCUUUCAGGCCAUAGCAGUUCUUACAUCGAGUUGCAACAGAAUGCAAUCGAGUGGGUAUCUUUGUGAUUAACUCACAAUACCCAAAACUCAAUGAUUAACAUUUUAAUCAUAAUUCCCAAGAACUAUAUCUUUGACCAGCCUUCUAUACAUAAAAAACUUGUAUGACAUUCAUACAUGAGCUGGAUAUUCCAGUCUUCAUUCUUUUUGCCUUUAUACUUCUAACAGUUUAACUUUUAGUAUUUCUCCUACUCUCAGAAGAAGCACCCAACUUAAGAGUGGCUUUAGCCCUGGACUUCCUAGGCGUGAAAGUCUCACUAACACCCUUCGGACACUUCCUUUCUCUUUAAGUUGUUGUUUUAUUCACCUUUCAUCAUAUGACAGGCGUUCUUCUGGAUCCCUCUCUUAUCAGUCUAAUGGAUAGUAAACUCCUUUACUAAUAGUUUGCAAACAAACAUUUCUUUGGAUAUCUCAUAUCUUUUAGCCUUUGUCUGUCUCUGAAAAUGAUUUUCAGAUUCCAUGAAUAUCACAUAACUAUCCAAACUUUCGAAGUUCGGAUCUCAUGGAAGCAAACAUAUUGCACUUGACUAAAAUGGAAUUCUAGCUUUUGGAUCGAAAGACGGGAGUCACAUGAUCCAUAGCAUAAGCGAGAGAAUACCAAAAGUAUGCGAUAGGACAAAGUCCUUCUUGGCACUUUUGAGGACAAUCCUCACAUUACGUUACCAAUCGUAAAGUUUUAACCAGAUAUUUAACAGCUAUUCAAUUUUAACAGGGAAGGUGGAAAUGCGAGCCAUUAUUCUACAACUAUUUUGCAAGAAACACUUAGACAGUGUUCAUAAUUAAUUGCACUGAGAAUUAAACAUGUUAAUUCAACAGUGCGCACCCACACAAAUCAAUAUCUCUCAUAAUUAAUUUUGAGUGAUACAAGAUCCAGACUUCAAUUCAUCGCCAUAGAAUCAUCAUCUCAUAACGGGAAUUUUAAUCGGUAGGCCAACUUGNNNNNNNNNNNNNNNNNNNNNNNNNNNNNNNNNNNNNNNNNNNNNNNNNNNNNNNNNNNNNNNNNNNNNNNNNNNNNNNNNNNNNNNNNNNNNNNNNNNNAUUCCCAUCUGCCACAUAACCACGGGCACGGCUCUCAAAAGUUUAUAACCUGCAGGGGUGUGCCAACUUAGCCCAUCACAAGCUCUCACGGUCAACGAAGGAUAUUCAUUCUCCCAGGAAGACCCGAUCAGUCUUGGAAUCCUGGUUUACAAGACAUUUCAACAAUGGUAAAACAAGACCAGCAAAGCCGCCCGAUGUGCCGACAAUCCCGAUAGGAGCUACACAUAUCUCAUUCUCAGGGCAACACCGGAUGAGACUAGCUACGAGUAAAACCAGCCCUCAAGUUUCCCCGAGGUGGCCCCGCAGGAAGCUCGGUUUGGACCAGCACUUAGAGAAGCACUGUCCCGGAGGGGCUAAAAUAAAGAUGACCCUCGGGUUGGCCGACCCAAGGGAAAGGUAAUAGGUUGUUAGGCAAAUGUAAAACCAAGGUUGGGCCUUGUUGGAGGAGUUCUAUUCAAAGCAAACUGCCAAUGGGGACCCAUAAAUCACCCAACCGCGUAAGGAACGGAAGUCAAGGAACGUAACACCGGUAUGACGGAAACUAGGGCGGCAAGAGUGGAACAAAACACCUGGCAUAAGGCUGAGUCUUCCACCCUUUACCAAGUAUAUAGAUGCAUUAAUUAAAUAAGAGAUAUUGUGACAUCCCAACCAUAAUCCUGUCCACCAUGAAGCAAUCUUCAACUUCACCUGCAACUAACAACGCUAUAAGAGGGGCUGAGAAAAAUGCUAACAUAGCCAAACAACGGUUUGCUAGGAAGGUUGAAAAAGGUUAGAGGCUGACAUGGCAAAUUGGGAGGCUUGAAGAACAAGUGAUAGGUAGCACAGCAUAGCGAUAGAACAAAGGAACUAGCAUAGCAAUGAUAGUAAUGAGAUCCAAGGUGAUGGUCAUCUUGCCUAAAAUCCCGCUAGGAAGAAGAACGAGUCCAUGAAGAAGAUGAAGCCACGAAGACGAAUCAAGCGUAGAUGAACAAAUCCUCACGAUCGCAACGAAACGGGAACUAUCGAGAAGAAGCACACAACAUGGUAAACACACCACACAUAAACAUGACAAGAUGCUCAACCAAGCAUGAUGCAUGACAAAGGCUACAUGAAGCUACUCAUGGCAAGAAAUGAUGCAUACAAGAGCAACCCAUCAAGGCAAGUUUAAAUGAGGCCGGAAACAACAUAUAACAAUUCCGGUAAGUCCUCAUAUGCAAAUUUCGAAAUUGGUCCAGAUCUGAUUAGAACACAAUGUUGAAGUUUUUAGACAGCAAGUUAAGAUGCACCAAGAUGAUCUACACAAAAUUCUAAUCAAGUUACAUAUAAAAUUCAUUUAGUUCGGAGCUACGGCCUAGAAGAUAUGAGCAAAACAAGUGGAACAUUGCUUUGAUGCAAAAUACAUUCAAACAUCAAGAAAACACUAUCAAACCAUGGAUUCAACAUGGCAUGAUGAAACUACAUGCAAUUCUAAGCAAGUUUCAUAUAGAGCAUGCUCAAAACGGAGAAACGGUUAAACACAUACACUCCAAACAUAAUAUAACAACAAGCUGUCCAAAAACAGCAACUAGGCAUCUAGCAAGCAUCAAAACAAGAUGCUAAAGCACCUCAACAUGAAAUCAAAAGGCGUGGACAUGAUGUACAGGUAAAGCAUGACAAAACAUGAACAAUGAGUUAUCUCCAGAAAUCACUAGAACAUGCUAAAAAGGGCAUGGCAAGAUUGCAAAUAAUAACAGUUCACAGACUUAGCAGAAAUCACUGGACAUGGCAGAAAUAACACCAGGUUGCAAUGUUUAGAGCUAUCAAACAACAUGUUAACAGGAACUUAUCAUGGCAACCAAAGGCAUGGCAUGCUAAUACUAAAGACAAAGAACAAAACACCGUUAGUGAACUUAUUCCAAAGAUCAACAGAAAAGAUGGUAGCAUCCAUGCAAACAUGGCAAACGAUAUGAUAGAUUCAGACAUGGAAGGAACAACAAUAAGUAGGCAUGUUAGUGAGCUUGUAUAAAUCACCAUAGGCAAUACAUGGCAUGGCAUGGUGACCAACAGUAAGCAGACAUGCUUUUGAAGCUAGGAAUGGCAAGAGAAAGUUCAUAGGGUGCACAGAUCACUAGCAAAGCUCAUGGAAAAACGGAACUUAAUGUUAACAGGCUGACGGCAACAUUAUUUAGCAAUUUGAGAGUAAGAUUACGACAAGCUAUAGCAGGCUAUAAAUGCAACCAGGGGCAUGGAUGGAUAUAGCAUAACAAAACACCCUUAGUGAACAUCUCCAGAUUAUUCAUAGAAUGACUUGUAGCAGCAGGUUUACAUAGCAUCGUGAUAUAGCAGAAUCAGCCCAGCAAAACAGAAACAGCAAGUAUCCUACUUCACAAGCUUGAUGCACUCACCAAAAGGCACAAAAAAAUACAUGGAUUGCACCAUUGCAGAAAUAACAUGAUGUAGCUCAAAACUCAUUUAGACAUCAAGCUCAUAGGAUGCGCACACAAAAUGCAAUGAAAAAGACAAAUCACCAAGUUCUGUUAACAGACAACAGUUAACAUCAUAUAGCACUCUUGCAACGAUUAUUAGGGCAUAAAGAUCAACUCAAACAAGCAUGGCACAAUGGAACAAAAUUAGGAGCACCUCACAAUGAACAAUUUGACAUUUCAUUCAACUCAAACGGACAAGCAUGCAUAGAGUUAUAACCAUUCAAACAUGCAUACAUAAAGUUGAAAAUUCGGGACUUGGACAUAUUUCACCUCGCGAGAGACGGGAUCGGGCGGUCCAGCGGGAUGGAGGGAUCCGGGCGCGGGGCGCGGUUGGAUGGCCGGCCUGGUGGAUCUCGUCCACUCGUCCGGAUCCGGGGCCGGCGCGGGUCAGGGAGGCCUCCGGGGACGAGGAAGACGACGGGGCCUCCGAGCGGCGGCACAGAGGGCGGCGACCGACGGCGGGGUCGCGAGGCGGCGGCGGAGCUCCGGCGGGGAGCUCGCCGGACGGUGCGGUGGAACGGCGCGGAGGCCCGCGGGCGACGGGGUCGGAGCNNNNNNNNNNNNNNNNNNNNNNNNNNNNNNNNNNNNNNNNNNNNNNNNNNNNNNNNNNNNNNNNNNNNNNNNNNNNNNNNNNNNNNNNNNNNNNNNNNNNCCCCCCCCUUGGGCCCAUGCGCCUAGGGUUGGGGGGGGGGGAACCCUAGAGGGCGCGCCCCCUUGCUUGGGGGGCAAGUUCCCCCUCCCUGGCCGCCGCCCCCCCUCUAGAUCCCAUCUAGAGGGGCCGGCCCCCCUUGCCCCUUCCCCUAUAAAUAAAGGGGUGAGGGGAGGGCUGCAUACACAAGCCAAGGCGCAGCCCCUCCCCUCCCCAACACCUCUCCUCCUCCGUCACGAGCUUGGCGAAGCCCUGCCGGAGUACUGCUUCUCCACCAACACCACGCCAUCGUGCUGCCGUGGGAGCUGUCUUCCUCAACCUCUCCUUCCUCCUUGCUGGAUCAAGACGGAGGAGACGUCGUCCGUUCCGUAUGUGUGUUGAACGCGGAGGUGCUGUUCGUUCGGCACUUGGUCAUCGGUGAUCUGAAUCACGUCGAGUACGACUCCAUCAUCAUCGUUCCCUCGAACGCUUCCGCAUGCGAUCUACAAGUGGUAUGUAGAUGCAAACUCACUCCCUUGACUCGUUGCUUAGAUGAACUCAUAGAUGGAUCUUGGUGAAACCGUAGGAAAAAUUUUAAUUUUCUGCAACGUUCCCCAACAAUAUAUACCCUGUACAAGGGUGGUUUACAAAAAGAGGCAGUUGUCAAAGAGACAACCGACAUAGCAGGGAUUAACAUAUUAAUUAACUUAAUUAAUUAAUUCCUAACACUCCCCCUAAUCAAUGCUUGUCCUUGUGAGUAUGCAUCAUCUUGAUAAAUAAUACUCCUUGUAUGUCUUUGCCUUUGAGAAUGCUCAUCAUCUUCAUCUUGAGAAAUCCAUGUAUAAUCUUUAAAGUCUCCUCCAAAAACCCUAUGGGAAAAAUAUGAGGAGACUAGUGUAGAUAUGUUGCUAAAACUCCUUUAAACCCAGUGGGAAAAAUAAUAAGGAGAGAUGCAACAUAUAAUGAUUAUUGUCUCUUCAUAACUCAUAUGAGGAAAACCUUUGAAGAAGGAGAAAACUCAUUGGUGAGUUUAGAGAACAAUAAAUAUGCUUUCUAUACUUUCCUUUAAAAAUCCGAUGGGAAAAAAACUUGAAAGUAUAGCAUAUAACCUUAAAAAGAUAUUACCUCAUUAAAUUCCAUUAUGAGAAACUUUGAGAGAAAACUCAUAGAGGAAAAGAGUGCGAUCUGAUAUGUCAUUGAAAACUCCUUUAAAACCCAACGGGGAAAUAUAAGGAGAAAAUGAUGUGACAUAUGUAAACACUUGUAUCAAUAUUGUCUCAUUAAAAACCUUUUAUGAGAAACCAUGAGGGAAAACUCAUGAAGGGAAAAAGAGUACAAUAUAUGCAAUCUGAUGAUUGUUAACAGGUUAUAGUUUGGGAGAUUACUCCCCCUGAACUUUGCAAAUCUCGAGGAUGUCUCAUACCAAUUGCAUUGACAUGAUAAUGCCAUUGUGAAUAAUCUGUUGGAUUUUCACAGUAUUUUCUUUGAAAAUUGUUUCCUCACUUUUCUAUAAUUCAUGAGGAUAAGUGAUCUUCGAGCAAUGUGAUUUAUGAUAUUGCUCUUCAUAUAACCUGUAGGUAUUGAGUAACACAAGUGGUAGCAUCUUGAUAAAAUCAAGUUAUGUGAUUGUUAUGAAUCUCAACCACAUGAUUUUGAGUGUGGUUAAUCAUUCUACCGAGACAUGCAUAUUAUGCGAUUCUUUUAGAUAAAGCAAUUAUGUCAGAAUGAUAAGUGGAAAUAGUCAUCAAAGUUUAUUUGGAUGACUUUCAUGAAAAGACUAUUUAUAGUGAAUCCAGUCAUUGAGAUGGCAUUAUUGGGAUCAAAUAAAGAGCCAAUAUCAUUACAUCAUAUCAUGGUCAUAUCUUGAUUUCGUGAUGGAAAUGCCCAAGAUGUAUUGUGAGCAUGAGAUAUAAGUUCUUAUUUCUUAUAUCUACCAUAUACCUUUUGUUGGGGGGUUGCACUCUGGACAAAGAUAGCAAAUAUAGUGUCAGGCUUGACGUAAUAUGCAAUUAUAUGAGUACGUUGGUGUUAGUGAGACGUAGAACUUUAGGUUCUGAUAUCACUACAUUAUCACCCCUAGGUAUGAAUGGAUUUGUAGCCUAUUAGGGGUAGUAUGACCAUAUUGCAUGUCUUUUAUUGGUAUGAUAUAUCCACAUUAAACUUCUCGUAUAUGUAUUGGAUAUAUGGAGACUGAUAUGUAUUCUUGAGAGAAUGCUCAAGUUGUAAACUUAAGUUAAAUUUGGUUGAAUCAAAAUUUUCCUUCUUGAGAUGAUUUUGUGUAUGUUUAGGUCUUGUAUAGACAUUGAUGAUGAGGUCAUCAAUAUACACUGAGGUGAUGAAAGGAAAUCAAAUUUGAGAUUCCUUUAUUAAACAUGUAACUAAUCAUCAUUAUCGAGUAAUCCUUUUGAAGAAGGAACUCAUCUCGUCCGUAGUACCAUAUGAUUUCUGACUAUUUCAAGUCAUAGAGUGACUUAUGAAGUUUUACACAAAACUUGUUGCGAUUUGCUUUUGGAUUCGGAAGUAUAAACCCUUGAGGGACUUCAAUAGAGAUUUCUUAAAUGAGUGACUCAUAUGAGUAUGUAGCCACUUCAUCCAUCAACUGCAUGGAUAAUAUUAUCAUUUUUAUUGCCAAUGAUAUUUAGUAUUGAAACAUAAUUCCACUCAUACCAAGAGGUUAUGUUACAUCAUAAUCGAUGUCGGGUCUCUGCGUGAACCCUUUUUGCUACAAGCCUCGCUUUCGCACCACCUCAUUGACUUUGUCUAUGAAUGAGAAGUUUUUAGUAUUCCAUAUGGAAGAUCCUUAGAGGGUAUCUUUGGUGAACCUAGGUGUAUCCUUCAAUACAAACGGUACAACACUUUCUCAACAAAUUCGCCCUCCGACCUAUUUGGUUCGACUAUCAAAUCUGUCACCGGUGUGAGUCGCCGCCCCGCGCUCACCAUUCCACACCAAAAUUGAUCACUGAGACGGACUUGAUAUUGUUGCUGAUGUGAUCCUCCUGCCGAUCAACAUGGCGUGCCUCNNNNNNNNNNNNNNNNNNNNNNNNNNNNNNNNNNNNNNNNNNNNNNNNNNNNNNNNNNNNNNNNNNNNNNNNNNNNNNNNNNNNNNNNNNNNNNNNNNNNUGCGCUUGAAUGUCUUAUAAAUUUUAGGCAGAGUCAUACAUACUUGCAAAUAAUUUUGUUUUUACACUCUUUGUGCAGACAAGCAUUUUGGUGAAACAUCCACCAACCCACUCGAGGAGCGUGAUCUAGAAGGGAGUCACCACGAGCGCUAUAUGCUGGCGCAUCAUAACCUCAUCCUCAGCUUGUUGAAUGGUCUCGCUGACACUCGGCGUGAGCUUGCUCUUGCACGUGGGAUCCCAUCCCCGGUAACAAGCACGGACACACCGGCACUGGCAGAGGCUGUGCUGUCGCUACGACUUCCUGAACCACUGUUUAGACAUGGGUGCAUUCUCCCAGCACCACGUACCAAGAGGGAAAUCGCUGCAAGGAUGGCUGCUCUCCGGUUUUACUGCUCCAUUGCUAGGCCUGAGCAUCCAUUGGACUCCGAGGUGAGGGAUCUCGAGGAGGCUUCCUAAUCUAAGGAGGAGGACCUCGAGGAGUCUUCUGUCGUGCCUUCCACCCCUACAUCCUGCAGCGACUCAGGAGAGGCAUCGGAACCAGGCCAGAAGCGACCAGAGCGCAAGAGGAAACCGAGCAAGUGGUUGGACUGAAAAACAUGGGCCAAAUAGCGCUCUUUCCCUUUAUCUCUCCCGGCUGGCGCUUGUGUAUGGGUGUGUUGCUACUCCAAUCUUUCUUCCUUCCCCUUCGUCCUGCUACUCCAAUCCCAAAUUCUACCGAUCUACUCAUAGUCAUAUGGACUCCAAAUUCGAGUGAGAUAUCUGAGGAUUGGCUUAUGUGAUGAAAUUUGAGCACAACAUAUUUGUUGAUGGCUUGCGUGAUGGCGUAACAUAUAUGUACUUAUAGUCAUAUGUUCGUGCGUUUGUGCACAACAUAAUUUGAGCACCUCUAUGUACUCAUACUCAUAUGUUCGUGCACAACAUAAUUUGAGCACCUAUAUGUACUCAUACUCAUAUGUUCGAGCACAACAUAUUUUUAGAUGGCUUAAGUGCUGAAAUAUAAGCUGGAUUGCUAGUUCACAACCCAAAAGAUUUGGAUACUGCCGUUUCUCUGACGUAUUUGCAGGAAGAAGCUCUCAAAAUAACCAAACGGCAUGAGCCCAUGCGGUGUGGACACCAAUUAAGGCUCCCGGAAUCAUCUAAGGAGGGCCAUGCAUCUUCCUCCUCCUGGGCGCCCUCAAACACCAAUAGUGCUUGGCCUCGAGAAGCUUGGCGGACAUAUCACCCGUGACGCACCCUCAACUGAAGACCGCCAGGGGGUUAUCCUAUGUCUGCAGCGAGAAGUGGACGCGGGAUCACAAGUGCGCUACUUCUGUUCAACUUCAUGUGGUGAACUACACAACAUAAAAAUCAUUUUUUCCUUUUCUGCAAGACGUGGUAUAUUUGUUUUUUACAUGACAUAAUGUUUCUUUUGAUUAAAUCUUCUGAUCAUUUUUCUCAUUUCCUUUCGGGAACAACUUAUGUAUUCCCAGGUCUUGACUCCUUGUUACAAGAAAUGUGUUAUGUUUUCUUCACAUAAUCCAGAAGAGCCAAAUUAACAUGGUAUUAGCAUGCUUUUCUAUUUGCAAAACAAUUACCCAGGUUCUUUCUCCCUUGUGUAACAUUUUGCUUGAAUUGACAUAUGCGGAUUUCUUUUUGUGUCUUCACAUAAUCAAGAAACUGACUAUGUUUCACAAAAAAUGUUCAAACCCUGAAGAUGAGUGGAAAAAAUUCCUUGAAAGUUUGGGCAGAAGAACUGAGGAGAAGGUGCGUGAGGAUGAUACAUUAGAAAAUGAGCUUGUCUUCAUGCGAUAGCUGACAUGAAGUUUACAUAUGUUGUCUCAUGCCAGCAGUAUGGAAUCCAGAAACGUUCUGGUGAUCCUUGUGCACAUGAUAUUUUGGGACUAUGACAACGUAAGUUUCGUGUUUACACUCGGAAGUCCUGGAUAUAUGUUGCUUUCAGUGGAAUAUAAGUCUUACUUUAAUUUGGUCCAUUUGUCUUUGUCAUCUAUACGCUAAAACAAACAUGCAUGCAUUCCAUGUAGCAGUGCCUUUGCAUGUCUGUGUGUGAGAAGUGUUAGUUGGGCUAGAAGAAUGGCAGUUUGUUGAUAUUCUUAAUAAUUAUUUACCAGUAUUAAAAACUGUAAGUUUUAUUUAUUUACUGAACUGGUAUCUAUCCUAGUCAGUAAUUAGUGCAUCGUGAUGUUCCAUAUCUUUCUGUCUAUCAAACUACAUUAUAAUUCAAAACCAAUGCUUUGAAUGCUAGAUACAUACAUUUAUGAGGACACAUUAUUCAUAAUAGUUUCAUUAUUUUUAUUUUAGAUGUCACAUACUUGUACACAAAUAUAUGCCAUAUAUGUGUAUAUGUAUAUACAUAUAUGAUGGCACUGAAAUAAUAGAAAUAUGUUUGCUGGGCAGAUAUCCAUCUUUUCGUGUUGCCUAUAUUGAUAAAGCUGAAGCACCUAGACAAGAUAGAAAUAAGUAGAUUGACAAAGUUUACAACUCAGUUUUGGUGAAGGCCGCUGUUACAAAAUCAGAUGAUCCUGGACAGAGUCUUUACCAGGUACUGCAAAAUGCUCUGUUAAUUCAGUACCUUGGUUAAAUUUUCUGUAAGUUAUGUUUACUGCGUUUCUCUUUGUUUAAGAGUUCUUUUACAGUACAUCAAAUUACUGUGGGCCCUUUAUUUUCAUCAGUACAAUGGAUAAGAUCCAUCCAUACUACCACAUAAACUUUGUAGUAUUUUUUGACCGGGAGGAACACAUAAGGGCAAUAUGGA
rnacentral:lncRNA from 1 species